UUCCCCUUUAACCAGAUCAGAUAUGUCCUGGUUUUGCUCGUCUUCAAGGGUUUGGAAAUGAAGCAUCAGACCAAGAAAAGCCGCACCAGAGGUGAAGAAUAUGUAGGUAGGAACUCCAAGCUCGUCAGCAACGUCAAUCAUGGUCGUGCUAACUAAGUCAAUCAAAAACCCACAAAAUUUUUGAGUUUUUGAGGCUAUGUCUCUCACAUGAGGUUUCUGAUAUUCUAGGAGCUUGAAAGUGAAGAGCCCUCUAUGUGUGAUGUUCCAAUCAGAGGUGUCUUCUGGUGUUGGAAGGUGAUGGAAGUGGAGGCCUUCAACAUUUGUGGCAGCGAUGAGGGACUGAAUUCUGGCUGUGCCAUGGGGAUCAAUUGGCAGCUCCAUGAUCAGGGCUAUGAUUGAUAGUUGAUUGUUUCUUGCAAGCAUCAGCUUGGCCAGCUCAAGGGCCUGUGCCAAGUGCCCCAUAAGCGGUGAAACCAUCAUCAGGAGCUUAAAUUUCUCCAUUUGAUACAGGAGAAGAAGGUUAAGAGGGGAUGGAAUUGUAGUUCUAGCGCAAGAAGGAUGCCCUUUGAGGUUAAUAAGUUCACAGAUUUUGCAUAGAAGUUGCUUGUCAAAAUUGGGAUCUAUGCUAGUAGUUGAGAGACCUCAAAAAUAUAUCUUCGUCGGUCCCCUUUUUUUUUUUUUCCCAAAUUUUCUUACGAAAGUAAGAUUUUUUUCGGCAAAUAAACCUAAUCCCCUUUUUAGACGACAGUUUUGUUGGAUCACGUAACCUCAUUGACUUUACCUCAAUGCCUCUUCAUUGAAUUGACUGAGCUCUGUGGCCCUUACAGAGAUGCUGUUGAGUCCAGCCGAUCUCAAGCUUGAAUGUUAUGAGCGCUAUUUGACUUCAAGCUCGGCUCGAUCAAGUCUCAAAUUUUAAACUCAAAGCCGACUCGAUAUAGUUAAAAACAAUUCGAGCUCGAAUUCGUAUAAGAUUCGAACUCCAGUACUCGAGCUAAGUUCAAAAAAUGAGCUCGAAAACCUUUGUUUUCUAGACCAGAUUUCAGCAAAAAUUGAGUGCAAAAAAUCUGUGCAUUCCUUCAACAAAAUAGUAACUCAUAUUAAAACAUGCAUUUUUCUUCAUUUCAACACAAAUUCCAAUCAUGUGAUUCAAGCACUCUAAAAUCCAUAGUAUCAAACUAGUUAAUAUGACAGAUUCUCAAUAGCCAAAAUAGCCAUAUAAGCAAAAGAAAUAGAGAAAUUGAUAUUAAUAGAAUUUAGUCACAACACGCUAAAUAUACAAUCUAUUCUAUUAAGAUCUAUUGCCAAGAUUCUAUACAACAACUUAUGUACAGAUUAUAGUCAAAAGUCAAAGCACAAUUUGGUAGCAGCUAUACAACAUUCACUUGAGUAAAAAAAAAAAAAAAUCACCAGAUUCACUACAAUUGUACAGAUUUUGCAUAGAAGUUGCUUGUCAAAAUUGGGAUCUAUGCUAGUAAUUGAGAGGCCUCAAAAAUAUAUCUUUGGUGGUCCCAUAUCUUGCAGAAGCAUGUGUUUGUAUUUCUUUGGAGAAAGGUGAUUCGCUGGGACAUAGGAUCCAGAGGACAACUCUGUUGGAUCACGUAACUUCAUUGACUUGACUUCAAUGCUUCUUCAACAAACCCAAAAAUGAUUAUCAGAAGCCAUAAUUCGGCGAGGGUGUGCACGGGGUGGGUUGGGUCACCAUUCCACAUCGGUUGAUUGUGGGAUCUUUUAAGGAUCAUGGGAGUACCUUCUUAUUACCAAUUGGCUGGAUGAGUAUUUCUUGUGAGUCCCUCCUUAGAUUGCUUUCAGACCGAUUUAACUGUUAAAUUUCGUGCUUAGUCUAACUUAACUGUGUGUAGAGUUUCUUUCAGUUUCUGAAAAAAAAGAUUACCAGAAGCCUGUGACAAGGGUAAGCCAAAAAUGACUUGACUAGCGCCUGACCAAUUGGUUCGAUAAAUUGUGCUAGGCUGGUAUUUUAUCAUUCUCUGAAGUGAAGUCUAAAUGAUCUAAAUGAACAGAGUGUAAUUCUUUGUCAUUUAACACAAAGCUGUUGAUAGAAAUAUAUACGUAUAGAAUUUUGUGGUCUUAUGAACAUUAGAGAAGCAAUUUAUGUUAUAAGUACGUUUAUCAAUGAUUAAUUGUUCAAUCCUCUAACCAAAAGUAGCUAGUUGUUUUAAUUGAGAAUUGGUUUGUUUCCUCUAAACUCUAAUGUUUGCACAAUGAAUUGCAACAAGGUCGCCAUAUUAAAGAUCUUUACAUGCUAAAUUGAUAGCCUGAAUCAAGUCUUGAUGCUCCUUUCGCUAGAGGUAACAACAACGUAUCCUCACAACAACAUUUGUCCUCAAAAGUUUUAAGGGUAAAUUACUAUUUAUCUCCUUGUCAUAUUUUAUCGCAUAAUUCUCCUAUGGUUCAAUAGUAUUUGCUUGACCCUGUGUUGUUUUACGUAAAGUAGAAAAUGAAUAGAAAGCAGAUCCUGUUUAAUGAUAUCUAGUUAAACUUUUUCCAAUUUGACCGUACACCCUCCUGAAAUGCAUUUGAAAUAUGAAAUAUGGCAUAUGCUAACGUAUGGAAAAUCCACUUAACUCCUCUUGUGGCUUUGCAUUUGACCAUAUAAUCCCAUUGUAGUUUAGUAAUACCCACAUAGUAUUAGUUUAAAAUUAUGAUGUAUAUGUAAAUGUCCCUAUAUUAGUAUUAGUACUAUUUUUUUCGAUUCAAGAGAGAUUCCAAAUCUUAUAAUAAAGAGUAGAGAAAGGAGAGAGGUUCAGAGUUGAACCAAGAAUCUUAUAAUCACAUAGCUAAUGUUUCUCCUUUCUAACCUGGGUCUUGGGUCAUUGUUGAUACUUAUUUUAUUUGUUAAGAGAAUUCUUCUCACAUUGAAAACUUAUUAGAACUUCGUUUGCCAAAGGAAACAAAAUGUUGUAUGUUGGAACAAUGUUUCUCACUGUUUAUUGUUCCCUUGGCAAACAUUGUGCUAAAACAGGAUUUUUUUUUUCUUUUUUUUUUAUCUGUAAGUGGAAGAUUUUAAACCUAGAACCUCCUACUUAUAAUUUCUUUUAUCUUAAUAUCUAACCCAACUCUUCUCCUGCUGAAACAAGAUAUGGCUUCAGAGAAAUUGAACUAAAAAUUGUUACAUCAAAAAAUUUAUGAGCACAUAGUUCCACAAUUUCACUUUCAUAUUCUCCAUAGGAUCUUUUCUUAGUUCACUUGACCAAAAUGAAAAACUGGAAUAACAUUUACCAGAAAAAAAGUAUUUGAUAAUCCAGCAAAUGUUUAAAACUAAUAAAUUAAGUAUUUUUUCUAUUAAACUUAUUUGACAAUAGAAUUCUCUCAUUUCUGAAUAUAGCAUGCAUGUAGUAGAGUACUUUAGUUCAACUCAAAUGUAUUGAUUAUCAAACCGAAGGGAUAUGACUUUGUGAUUAUAGCAAUUAAAACUUCAAGACUGAGAUUUCAAUUUCAGAUUUCACACUUCAAUUUUUAGUUUUUACCAAACCUCCGCAAUACUUGGGAAGCUUGAUGGAGGCUACUGCAUAGAGUCAGCAUCAAAUUCUCAAAGGCCACACGAGAUGAACAACCUUCCUUCAUAGCUUGCCUACAUUUCUCAGUAAACUUUUUGACCUUUUUCCUGACAUCAUUCUCACCAUCCAUGACUUCUCUUAUUCCUUUCUCUAUUUGUUCUGCCUUCGCCAAAGGUUGAUACUCAUUAGUUUCGUUGUAAUCCAAACUAAUUUCCACAGCCAUUGCUAACUCUUUCACCAGUUGGAAUGCGCUGAAUUGUUGUUCUCCAACAAUGGCCAUGCAGCAAUUGGCACACCAUACCAAAUACUCUCCAAUAUUGAGUUCCAGCCACAGCAUGGUUCGCCAUAUCGGCCGAGUCGUAAUUGGAAUGGAGGGGACCGAUACGAUACCGAUCCCCGAAUUGCGAAUAUCACCAUAUCCACAACGACUUGCUCUAACUCGGCCGAUAUUGACCGAUUCGAAUCUGUGAUGCAUGAUAUCGGCUGAUAUAUUCGAGUUAACUCGGAGUCGACUCUGAUAUUUUUUUAAAUUGUGUCUUUUUUUAGUAUUUUCUAUUUUUAGUAAUUUUUUUCAAAAUUUUUGUAAAUUUUCAUGUGCUAUAAUGUAUGUAUCACUCGAUAUUCAACUAAUAUGCUGCGACGGAUGUGGAAUAACCGAGACCGCGAUACGAUCGCGACCCGAGAUGGCGAACCAUGAGCCACAAUGUGACACAAAUCCACCCACGGCAGGGUGUGACAAAAUGGCCAUUUGUGGAAUCCAGCCCACAACUUUUCCAAUCAAAGCCGCUCGAUCCAAGAAUCCUUCGGGCAAAGCAAGUCCAUGAUUUUCAAAUUCCCCUGCAAAUUCUCCAUUUUUAGCGGGGGAUUGCCUAAGAACCCAAAGAAAUUGGUAGCCACUUUUUCAAGGCCUACUGCUAUUUCUUUCACUUGAUCCAGCUUAAAACUUCCUAUACUACCAAAACAGAGGAAAACAACUGAUUUUUCCGGCUGGAUAUCCAUCCAUUCCAUCAUUUCUGAAUGGUCAUUAGUGGAUUGAGUUUGGAUUUGGGACGUAUUUUGAACUGGACCAAUAGGGAAAAUUGGUGGCAAUCUUGACGUACCAUAAGAAUAUUCCAUUAGAAAAGAAUUAAUAGCAUAAGGCUCAUGAUCAGCAAAUGUGUUCACUAUGAUGCCCUUGGCCCUUCUAUACUCACGAGUAGCAUUCAAGAACCAGUGACGCCAAAUUUCCUUUCUAGUUGUAAAAAUUGGGAGGACGCUACUUGGAACAUCGUUGGUUAAGCUAGGAAUAACCAAUUUCAUUUCAGCUUGGACUAAAUCAGAUAUUUCCUUGAUUUGCUCAUCCUCGUGUGUUUGAAAAUGGAACAUAAGACCAAGACUAGUAGCACCACAAGUGAAGAAAACAUUGCAAGGAACAUCAAAUGCUUCAGCUACAUCGAUCAUUGUCGUCUUAUCAUGUCAACUAUGAUCCCUGCAAAAUUUUUGAUUUUAGAGACGGUUUCUCGUACAUUAGGUUUCUGAAACUCUAUGCACUGAUUAAUAUAGCUUCCUCUAUGUGGAAAAUGUAAGAAAAUAAUAUAAAAGUACAAGACUGUAUUGAGUCAAAUCAGAAAAAUUCAAGAGAGAAUUCUAUAGAAAUAAGUUUACAUAAAUGGGGAUCAAAACUUGAAGAAUUCAAGGCGUGUAAUCACUUUCCUUGAAGUUUGAUUGCCCCCACUAUCUUGCUAAUCCCGUUUCUGAGCAAAAACUCUAGGAUACAAUGAAUUCUAAUUAGAUAACCAAGUAGCAAGUUCUUGGAUUUGUCUAGUCAAGAAUAAAAAUGCUUAAGUUAGUUUUCUGGUGUUCAACAUAUUGAUUUAUACACCCAUAACAUUCACAAAACCGUUAAAAACUAUUCAUAUGUAACCUUUCAAAGGAACAUGAAGUUUCACUGUAAAAGGUGCUUCCAAAAGGUGCAAACCAUUCCUAUUUUGCAAACUGCAUUAACAAUCCCCCACUUAGUUUGCAAAAUAGAAAGUCAAACUAACACUGAAAAUUCAUGCAUCAAGGAAAGUAACUCUCGUCUUAAACUCCCCUUGCUAAAAAUUACGUCUCGGUCUGAUUUGGUAGUUCCGGAUUAGACAUGGGCACGUCUAACUCGUAGGAAGACUUUUAUUUUGUAACUGAAACUCUGAUUUUUAAGUGUGAUCACUUAGCGUGGGCACGCUUAACUCCUAAGGAGUCUUUUGGUCACCAAACCAAAAUACACAUUUAAGUGAAGCCUUUGGUGGCUAGAUUGCUUAAACCAAGAUUCACAAAAAUAAGAAAUGUUACUACAUGAAUCAUGUAGCAUUUAUAUAUUCACAACCAUCUGUAGCACUAUUACCGGCCAUGUGCUCAUCCUAUUCAUGAUCAUAUACAAGAGAUCACCCAAAACUCUUGUUAGAAGCGGCACCACUUCUAUGACGAUUUAGGUAAACUAUAUUUCUAGUUUUACAAAUAAAAUACAAGAAAUAUGUUUAUUAAAAGUUACUUCUCAUCCUACUCACUUAAGAGUAACACAUAACACUACUAAUUGGAAUGGUAUACACAUAAAAAAAAAAGUAGUGUUCACUAUCACUUGAAACAACUUGUUAUUACCCUUUAAACCUUCCAAACUAGGGGUAGUAUUAGAAGAAAGGUUGGGUUACCAUUGCUAAGUGAUUUCAGUAUAAGGAUUUUAAUCUCAUUCCGGAUAUUGUCACAUUCACUAACUCUCUUGUUAGAGGUUUAAUCAACGGAUCCGCCAAAUUUUUGUGUGUUCUUACAAACACAAUACUGAUAAUAUCAUUUGCAAGCAUUUGUCUUAUAAAUGCAUGUCUCAAACUUAUAUGUCUAGACUUACCAUUGUAAACUUUAUUCAAUGCGUUAGACAUAGUAGUUUCACUAUCACAAAAGAUAGUUGUUGGAGGCAUUGGUCUAGGCCAAAAAUCAAUAUCGAGUAAAAGAUCUCUUAGCCACUCAGCCUCUUUACACGCUGAAGAUAGUGCAACAAAUUCAGCUUCCAUGGUUGAAUGAGUUAUCACCAUUUGCUUCUUUGAAGCCCAUGAGAUAGCUCCACCACCAAGUAUAAAAAUCCAACCACUAGUCGGUUUUUGCUCACUAAUACUAGUAAUCCAACUAGCAUAUGAAAACCCCUCAAGAACACUAGGAAAACUAUUAUAAAAGAGUCCAAGAUCUUUGGUUCUUUUAAGAUAACCAAGCACCCUACAAAUAGCUUUCCAAUGAUCUUUACUUGGAUUUUUAGUGUAUCUAGCUAGUCUACAAACCGAGUAUGAAAUAUCCGGCCUGGUGCAACUCAUUGCAUACAUAAGACUACCAAUAACACUAGCGUAUUCUAGUUGGGCUAUUGGUUUGCCGGUAUUCUCAUAUAGUUUAAAGUUAGGAUCAAAAGGGGUGCCAACUUCUUUCCCACUUUAAUGUUGAUACUUCUUUAAUAUUUUCUCAACGUAAUGUGAUUGAGACAAGGCAAAACCCCCACUAUGUCUUUUAACUUUAAUCCCCAAGAUAGUAUCUACUUUACCAAGAUCUUUCAUCUUGAACUUAGAAGACAAAUACUUCUUAGUUUCUACUAUACUUUUAAGUGUGGCACUAACAAUUAGCAUGUCAUCCACAUACAAACAAAUAAUCACACUAUACUCACUAUUGGAUUUAGAAUAAAUGCACUUAUCAGCUUGUUUCAAGCCAUACAAAGAUUUCACUAGUUUACACACCUUAUGUUCAUUACUCGGGAGUACAAAACCUUCCGGUUGUUCCAUGUACACCUCCUCAUUCAAAUCACCAUUUAAGAAAAUUAUUUUAAUAUCCAUUUGAUGCACAUGUAGACUAAAAACAGAAGCUAAAGCUAGUAGUACUCUAACAGAGGUUAUUCUAGCCACAUGUGCAUAUGUGUCAAAAUAGUCUAUUCUUUCUUUUUGUCUAUAGCCUUUAGCUACUAACCUAGCCUUGUAAGUAAGAAUAGAUCCAUCAGUGGCGUAUUUCUUGCGAAAUACCCACUUACAACUAAUAGGUUUAGAACCUUGAGGCAAGUCCACAAGAACUCAAGUAUUGUUAGACAAUAUUGAAUCCAUUUCAUCAUUCACAGCCUCUUUCCAAAAUGCAGCAUCUUUUGAUUUCGUAGUUUCAUCAUAUGUCUUAGGAUCAUCCUCUACACUCAACAAAAUUGGAGUUUUAUUUAGUAGAGAAUCUCUAUUUCCUUCUACUAGAAAAAACAAUAGCUUGAAAAGACACAAAGUCGGGGGGCAAUUAUUUUUCUUUUCUUUGUCUUUGACUCCUCCUAGGUUCACUAGGAGUAUCAAUUCCUCUUCUUUUUGUACCACUAGAAGAGACUACAUUUGGAGAGGAUGGAACUAUAUUAACUGUUGAGUCUCUAAGAAACUUAUAUUCAAAGAACUCAACAUCCCUUGACUUGACUAUUAUAUUUGAACCAAGAUCAAGUAGUCUAUAGGCUUUUGAAUGUUCUACAUAGCCAACGAACACACUUUUAAGGGAUCUAGGUCCCAAUUUAGUUCCUUUAUUAUCAGAGACCCUAUAGUAGGCUAUACAACCCCAAAUCCUUAAAUAAGACAUGUUUGAUUUUCUAUUUUUCCACACUUCAUAGGGAGAAAUUCUAGUUUUUAAAGAAGAAAUUCUAUUAUGAACAUGACAUGCAACUAACAAAGUUUCACCCCACAAAUUAUUUGGCAACCCUAAACUCACAAGCAUGGAAUUAACCAUAUCUUCAAGAGUUCGAUUUUUCCUUUCAGCCAAACCAUUUUGUUGUGGUGUGUAUGGUGCACUGGUUUGGUGUACAAUUCCACAUUCUUCACAAAAUUUUGAGAAUUCACUAGGGAAGUACUCACCCCCUCUAUCACUUCUCAAAAUUUUAAUUUUCUUAUUUAAUUUAUUUUCUACUAAAGCCUUGUAUGUUUUAAACAUACCAAAUACUUUUUCUUUGUGUUUCAUAAGAUACACAUAAACAAACCUAGAACAAUCAUCUAUGAAUGUGACAAAGUAUCUAUUUCCUCCUCUAGUUAGAAAAUCAUUGAAUUCACACACAUCAGAAUGCACAAGAUCAAACAUUUGUGUUUGUCGUUCAACUUUAGGAAAAGGCAACCUUGUAAUCUUGGCUUGAACACAAGUUUCACAUUUCUUAUUUUCAAGGUCAUUAUAUGAAAUUAGGCCAUCUUUAGACAUAAAUUUCAGCACUUUAUGAUUCACAUGUUCUAACUUACCAUGCCACAAAAAAUAAGAACAAGUAGAAGAAGUAGAAGCCAAAGAGUAAACAGAAAUAUCAUUCACUUUAUUAAUACUCAACUUGAACAUUCCAUUACAAGAAUAGCCCUUCCCUACAAAUAUAUCAUUCUUUGACAAAAUUACAUUAUUUGACUCUAGUACAGCCUUCAAUCCUUUCUUGUUAAGAAUGUCUGCAGACACUAAAUUCUUAACAAUAUCGGGAACAUGAAAUACUUUGGUAAGGACCAACUUUUUACGGGAUGUGAAUUGAAGAUGCACAUCCCUUUUGCCAUGAACCUUGGCUCUCACUCCAUUUGCCAUGACAACUUCAUGACUCUCAAGAAGUUCAUAACUCUUGAACUGAUUCUUAUCAUUGCAAACAUGAAUUGCAGCACCAGAAUCAUACCACCAAUCCUUUGAAGGCGUAAAUGUCGUCAUAUGAAGUUCAGUCACCGUACCAAAAGUCAUCAUUGCUACAAUUUCUAUAUACUUAUCAACAAGAUUAGCACUUGGAGCAACAUUUUUCUUUUGUUUCUUGUUGAGUUUACACUUGGCCUUAUAAUGGCCUUUCUUACCACAAUUAUAACAAUUUCUAUUUUUUUUCUUAUUGUCUUUUGAAUUAGUAUUCUCAGGCCUCUUUCUCUUACUACCAAAAUUCAUUUUCUCUUCAACCAUAUUAGUCUUAGGAGCAUUGUCAAUUUCUAGUUUUUGAAGUAUUCUAGCCCUUUCUUCAAUUCUAAGAUGUUUCAAAACACUAGAUAAAAUUAAAAUUUCAGAAGUGUGAAGCAACUUCUUUUGGUAAUUAUUCCAUAAUGGUGGCAACUUAGCAAUUAUUGCACCAACUUGGAAAGAUUCAAAAACUUUAACACCAUAAUCUUUAAGUUCAGAAACCAUCACUUGAAGAUUAUGAAUUUGGUCCAUAAGAGAAAAAGAAUCAACCAACUUAAACUCAAAAUAUUUCUUAAUGAGAAACUUAUCUGUGCCUUGCUUUUGGGUUGUGUACUCUCGCUCAAUUGCAGCCCAGAUAUCCCUUAGAUUUUGUACUCUUUGGAACAUAUCGUAGUAACUAUCCGAGAGGGUAUUGAAAAUGUGACCUCGGCAAAUAAUCUAGUCCUCUUCACACUUUUGCCUUUGCUUUGUCACUUCCUCGGACUCACUCUCCGCUGGAGCAAGAAUUUCUGGAAGAUUCGGAUUGAGAAUGUAAGCCAUCUUCAAUGCAACGAGGAAGAACAUAAAUUUGUCCUUCCAACGGUUGAAGUUGGUUCCGGUUCCAUCCAGUUUGUCCAACUUAACGAAAUCUUGGUUCAUAACUUUGAUGGCAUUCUCUUGUGUAGACUCUAUUCUUGUCAAUCGAUCAAACUUCAAGAUUGUAAGAAAAUAAUAUAGAAGUACAAGACUGUAUUGAGUCAAACUAGAAAAAUCAAGAGAGAAUUCUAUAGAAAUAAGUUUACAUAAAUGGGGAUCAAAACUUGAAGAAUUCAAGGCAUGUAAUCACUUUCCUUGAAGUUUGAUUGCCCCCAGUAUCUUGCUAAUCCGGUUUCUAGGCAAAAACUCUAGAAUACAAUGAAUUCUAAUUAGAUAACCAAGUAGCAAGUUCUUGGAUUUAUCUAGUCAAGAAUAAAAAUGUUUAAGUUAGUUUUCUGGUGUUCAACAUAUUGAUUUAUACACCCACAACAUUCAGAAAACUAUUAGAAACUGUUCACAUGUAACCUUUCAAAGGAACAUGAAGUUUCACUGUAAAAGGUGCUUCCAAAGGUUGCAAACCUUUCCUAUUUUGCAAACUACAUUAACAGAAAAUGCCACUGAGAGAUAUCUGGCAUUGGAAGGUUGCAAAAAUUGAGGCGAUCAACUUUGCAGGAGGUGAUCAGAGACUCAAUUUUGGCCAUGCCUGCAAGAUCAAAUGGUGCCUUCGUGACUAGGAGUGAAAUAGAUAGUUUAUCAGUUUUUUGAAGCAUUAGCUUGGCUAGCUCCAUGAAUAGUGCAAAGUGCCCAUUGGCGGUGCAACAAUCAUCACUACCUCAAGUUCGUCCAUUAGUAUUUGGUGAGGAGGGCUUGAUCCAAAGGGAAAGAGUAAAAGCCUAAGAGGGAUCUUUCAUGAACUCCUUUUUUUCAUCGAGGAAGAGUACUAUGAACAAUCAUUCACAUUAAGGCAUGAAUUCAUACACCAAGAACUUCUCAUUUCCUUUAGAUGCGUAUCCAUAUAAUUUUACCAAAUUCGGAUGCCUUAAUGUUUGUAGAAUCUCUACCUCAUUAUUGAAUUCUUGUUCUCUUUGUAUCGAUCCGUCUUGGUGAAACCGGAAUUUAAUUGCAGCAAUCUGAUGGUGAUCAAUCAAUCCAUUCAAUUCAGUGGAAACACAUUUUAAGUUCUAAUAUCAAUUCAUAUUCAUUCAAAUACUAGGAGUACUGAUUUUUACUAGCAAUAGAAGUAGUAGUGAGUAGUAAUAGGAAUAGAACCAAUAGUUCUACUUAUUUGCUGAUUGGUUGACUUAUUGAACAAACAAGAAGCAUAGAGCGAACACGCUCAUUUCCCUACUAUGAGUAAUGCAUCAAACAAAAUGCCUUGAAGUUACAUGUUUCAUACUUUAUUUCAUUGAUCAUAUGAUUCUUGAAAUCUUCGUAAGUUAAGUAAGUGACACGAAGAAUGUUUUUACUACUAGUAAAUUAGUUGAAUGUGGGACAAGAAAAAUUGAUCUGAAAGUCAAUUUGCAUCAAUUAAUUCAUGAAGAAAUAUGCCAAAUCUUACUUGGCCAGAUUCGAGGGUUCCUUUGUAAACCACUUCGUAGCCUCCCAUACCAAUCACAUUUUCAACUGAGAGAUGUCCGGUGGUAGUUUUAAGCUUAGACACAGUAAAUUUACCUAUAACAGUACUUUGUAAGAACAUUGAUAUAAUAAAGAUUUAGGUUUGAUGUCGCUCGUUCAAAGAAUAAAAUAUAAAAAAUGGAAUUAAUGGCAAAAUUACGCAGUAAUGGUGUGAGAACCCGUAAUUUUCUUAAUUGCUAGGUUUUAUUUUCUUUUAAUUGCACGCUUUUUCAUAUUUUAUUUAUAUGAAAAAUUUUAAAAAUAAUUUUAUGAUCAAAUAUAGUUUUUUUUAAACUAUUUUUCUAGUAUAAGUUAGUUCAUGAGAAAUAAAGAGUGUAUAUUGGACGUGGGACCCACUAGUGGCGUUAAGCGCGAUAAAUUCGGCAGAUUAGGUUAAGUUUAGUAUUCAGGGAGUAAUUUUACUAGGUGCUAAGAGAUAAUUAGAGAUUUCCUAGAUGGAUUAGUAUAGGAGAGACAAAAGGAUAAUUAUCAACCAAAAAGGUGACAAGUGUCACCUUGUGAUUUAAUUUUGGACUUUGAUCACUAUUCAUGUACUUUACUAAUAUCCCAAAAUUGAUCAAAAAUUCACCAUUUUCUUCAUCAUCUUGGCUGGCCAUUAGAGAGAAGAAAACCAAGAGAGAAAACUUCUUCCUCUACUUCAUUUCUUGCUCAAUCUUGUGAUUCAACCGUUAGAAUUCCAAAUUCCUCCAUAAAAGUCACUUGUUUAGGAAGAUUGAAGGUAGUGGUGGAGUGAUUAGAGAAGGGAAAGGACUAAGCCAUCACCUUUCUUGAUAUUUCAAGGUAUCAUGUCUAACAAUCCUUUCUUUGUUCUUGAUUAUGUUAAAUUAGUGACUUGUGAUGACUAAAGAGAUGUUUUAGUGGAAGAUUUUAUGAUUUUUGGUGGAGAUUGAUGGAUUUUUAUUUUAUGCUUGAUUUUUCUGAUUUCAUAUGUGUAGUGUUGGUUAGUCAUGGAUUGUUGGUUAGUUAUUGUGUAAAAUGGAGUUGAUAUAGGUUGGAUAUGAUUGAUUGUGCAAAAAUUCUGGUUUGGGGAGAAAUUUCCAGGUUAGGGUUUUAAACAGGUUUGUUCUGUCUGAAUUUAUUUGAGCAUGCUAGAGGUCGAAUUAAUCUUAGGUUAAAACAUGAAAGUUGUAGAGAAUGAUGUUUUAUAGUUGCCUGUAAAUUUUCAGCCCAAUCUGAGUUUGGUAGCUUGUGAAAAGUCGGAAAUACCCAGACUGGUCUAGGUAGGAGUUCAGCGAACAGUGUUGUCAUUUCACCCAAUCUGACCGUGAAUUUUCACCAUGAUCCUUACCGAAUUAGAUUUUGACCAAAACAUGAAAGUUGUAUCUAAUGGUAUGAAAUGGUUGCCUGCAAAAUUUCAGCUCGAUCCGAGCACUGUAGCUUGUAAAAUGACCGAAAUACCUUUGACUAUCCACGAAACCUGUUUCGCGCCCAGAUUUCUGUUUUCGUGUAGUUUUCCAUUUUUGACCAUGAAAAUGCAUGAUUUGGCUUUUGAGGUCUUCAUAAGAAAUGUAGGGUUGUAUUUCGCUUUGAAACGCCAUAAGAUACACUUCAAUCGGACUUCGGUAGCCUGAGUUAUUGCUGUUUAACAAUUGUGCGGUUAGCCAACCUGUUUGUGAGAUUCUGGUUUCGUAUAUUUUAAUUUUGACCUAGCUACACUAUGAACUGGACUGAGUGGUCUUCAUCAAGGUUGUAGGCCUUUGUCUUAGCUUCGAAACGGUAUAUUUUUCACCUUAAUCCAAUAAGUGUAGCCUCGGAUGUGUCCAUUCCGUAAAACCCCGUCAAAUCUGUCUUUUGUUAAACUUCAUUUCCGCACUUGUUAUUAGCUUGAUUUUGUACUUGUACUACCUUGAGCCUAUUGAUCGGCUAUUAAAAUGAGGUUGUUCUAUGUGUGAAUUUGGGACUGUUUGAGGAAAAUAUUGAAGCCAUAAAUGGCUGGAAAAUGGAUAAACACAAGGGGCAUGCCGCCAAAUUUUCACGAGAAAGAUAAGCUAGCCUUUGGAGUUCUAGUUUUGUAUCUUGCAAAUUUAACUUGGAUACACUAAAAACUGGGUCGAGGUGUCUUCAUGGAAGUUGUAACCUUUUAUUUAAGUUUCGAGACACUACCUAGUACAUUUUGAUUCGAUAACUACAGCUCCAGUUAUGAAAAAAAUCGUGUAACCCGUUUUAUACCAUUUUCAUUUUCACGUACGCGCACUUGCAUUUCUCAACCGUUUUUGCCGUUUUGGACCGUUUAGGUCUACUUUUGUUAUUUUGUUAACAUUCCGGCCGUAUUGGCCAAUUUCGACAUUCUUUUGGCCUUAAUGUUAUUUUCGACCCUUUUUUAUUAUUUUUGACCGUUUUCAACCGUAUUCAAUCGUUUAAGUUAUAAACUGCUAUUGUAUGGCCGUUUCACUUAUGUGUGUGUAUAUAAUCUGUCAAUACAGAUUGUGAGGCUUUUGACGGUGACGGUCAAGCUCAGUGAGUUGUAUCAUUUUUCGUGCCAAGUUUUAUCAAGUGAGUAAUUUGGUUAUUUAUUGAUGUGAAAUUGUUGAAGUAUCUUGUAUAUGUUAAAUGGGUACUUAGGCGAGGGUGUACUUCAUCGCACUCGACCUAAACCCUAAUUUACAUGUAUAAUUAUACAUGACAUGUCUACAUGAGUUAUUUUGGGUUUGAGCCCCUUGACCUUGUAGCUCGGGAUGACGUUUGUGAGUUGGGGUCGAUCUUCCAACCUGGAUGGACUAUUCGAGCCAGCCGGGACUUGGUCGAAACCAGUCCAACCUAGUCUGAGGUCACCAAGUUUGUAGGUUCAUGUUGUGAACCAAGUUCGUAGGUUCAUGUUGUGAAUCAAGUUUGUGAAUCCGGUUCACUGAGAAUGUGAACCAAGUUUAUGAACCGAGCUUGUGAACCAAGUUCAAUUUCGUUCGCUCGAGCAAGUUUGUGAGGUGACUGGCCAGUGAGGGUGAUAAGGUGAACGGGGAAGUUUAAGUGGAGUCUACGGACCAUGAGUACUUUGGUUGACGGAGUGUCAACAGGCGUUCAAGCUCGGGGAAUUGAAUUGGCUUUGAAGCCACCAGUAUCCUACCAUUGUGAUGUUACUUUUCUGUUAUUGAUGUGAAAUAUCCUGAUUUACUUGUUUAAUUAUGUGAGUUUACUUUUUCCCCUAAUUACUCACUAAGCAUAUAGCUUACCCCAUUCUAUUUGUUUUCCUUAGCAGGGGGCCGGCGCGGGGAUCGCUCGGGAGGGGGUUUAGUGUUUUGAUUAUAGACGAGUUGAACUUGUACUUGUUAUAAGUUGACGAGUAAGAUGUAUAUAGUGUCGUGGGGGUUUACUUUCUGGUACUCGUGGUAUGUAUGACUUGAUGUACUAGUUUAUGCAAUUUUGAAGAUGUAAUCGUUUAAACAGAAUUUUCUUUUGGCGUGAAUCUAUUUUCUAGUUUUAUGAGUGAGUGAGUUCCGGCGAGAGUUGGGCGGGCGACCCGCCGAACCCUGGGGUACGCCCUAGGGAGAAGUGGGGCAGUCACAAAUGGUAGUUACCGCUGGUUAGUUGGUCUUCAAUUUGAUUACCCUCAAUCUUCUUGAUGCCCUUCGGCUCAUUUUCGAAUAGGUAAGAACAACAGCCUAUUGCCUAUAUAAGCAACUGUAUAUCUCAGUGUUGCAAAGUGGAAGUUGUAUUAGUAUGAGGAGCAUGAGAAUCAUUGAAUAUAAGCAACUGCAUGUGUAUCUGGUACUCCAAUUUUAUGUGUAAACCAAGCAAGGCAGAAGAAGAUUAUGAUAUGGGAUCAUGGGAUUCUUGAAUUUCGUUCAAAUGUUCAAAACUUGAUAGGAAGAGAUGGUGUUUGUUACCUAGUAAUAUUUGCAUAACUAACAAAAUGGUAAUCAAUAUUUUGGGGAGAGGGUUUCUGGUAGCUGUAGCCAAUUUUGGACUCUUACCGAUUGAUAAAUGUUGUGCCCUCAACUCAUGAAUUUGCACCACUUAUUUCUGAUAGAUGAUUGCUGAUAUAUAGGAUUCUAUAGUUCAAAUCGAGCAUGCUCAUUGGAAAAGCCAAUACUCUACUCUAAACGAUAUAUGAUUUAAAUAAUAGCAUGUCCUAAGUUUUAGAUGUUCCAUAUUUGUAUCUGGCACAUCGUAUUUUUUCAAAAUCUCUUUUUAUAGAUAAACUCUUUUACAUUAUGACAAAUCUUAAGACUUAUGUAGUAUAAAAUUGAAGUCUAAAAACUAAAAUUUGAAAUCUAAAAUUUGAAGUCUGAAUUUAUUAAGUUAUUGAAUUGUUAAAUACUAAAUCUGGCAAAUUUGAGUAUAUAUCAUAUUAAGUGAUAAGUGAAUAACAUUUGACUAUAUAUCGGAUUAAGUGAUAAGUGAAUAACUUAUCAUGUAUUUUUGAUUGUAAGCUUUGCUUUAAAAAUUCAAUGUCACUUAAUUAAUUUAGAUAUUCAAUUUUUGAUUAUUAAACAUAUCUAAAUAUGUUAAAAUCUGAAUCUAUUAAAUUUAAAUGUUAAAUUGAGUUAUCAAGUAAGGCCAAGAUAAUUUGAAUCCAUCAAUUCAGAGAUGAACUGUUUUACUAUUUGUUUCAAAUAUCUCAUCUUGAACUCAACUUGAUAUUUUUGCAAGUUACUUGAAUAUGACCCAAAGUUUAUAUAGAUUUUUAACCUAUUUGAUAAAAGACAAAACUUGGUUAGAUCCGGUUUUCAAAAAUUCAAUGGCCGAAAUUGUGUCAUACCUCUUGAUUAGAUGGUAUGGUAAAAUCUAGGCUAUUGAAUUUUUGAAAAUUGGGUUUAUUCAAGUGUGAGCCUUUGAUAAAUGGGCCAACUCUUUUUUUAUUAUUCCUUGUAUCUUAUAUGUUGUAAAAAUCAUUAAUGAAUGACAAUUUCAAGUCCUAAAAUUCAUAUUAGUUGACUCAAAGUUAACAUGUUUGUUAAGGUCAGAAAAAAAAGAAAGUUAACAUGCUUGUAUAAUGGGUUUUUUUUUUUUGGGUCUAACCCAUGCAUUUUAUCUGUUUCUAAAUCCAGGAGCGGAUUGCUUAAGUUGGAAUUUGGGUUCUUUGUCCGAGAUUGACUGGACCUAGUAAAACUUUUGUACUUUAGGAGUCUGUUAGGUUUGUAAGUAGCCAAUCAAGUUGGGCCAUAUCUGUUAAAAGUGGCGGUGCAAAAUUAACAUGGGCUACAUCCAUAUCCACAUGAAGCUUAUUACUUCAAAAUUCAAAUUGUGAAUGGUCCAAAUCCAAUUAUUUUAAACCUAUCAAGCUCUGCAAUUGAAAGUACAGCCAAUAGUGACAUGGCAGGUGUUAACCACAAUCUAAUUGUUUUGAUUCGUUCAAAUUCGUCCACAAUAAGUGGAUUUGAAUAUGCAAUGAACUUUGAAUGAAUUUAAAUGAGUACACAAUUAUACCUAUUAAUUAUUGGUUGGUAGUGAAUUAAUUUGUCUCAUCUAUUUAUAUCAAAUUAAAAAUAAUUAUAUAUUUAAAUUCUAUUUUAAGUGGGUGUUAAACAGAUAAUUUUAAACUCUAUAAAAGUUUCUCAAAAUGUAUCCAUUUUUACUGAAACAAGAAAGUCAAUAAAUUCAAGAACUAAUGACCUAAGAUUGUAGUCGAAUGGCCACUUCAAUCCCUCCUUGGGUAUAGGUGGGGGAUUCGAAACCCUCUGCCAUCUUGACACUUUCUACUGUGAGAAUGGGUGUAGUUAUACUCGUCCAAUUUGAUGGUAAUUUAGUUUCCGCUGGCUUUUUUAUAGUCUGGUUGAACCUAUCUCCUUCCCUAUAAUUUAGGAGUAGGUAUAGAUUGUUGUCAUUUGAUCCAAAAAAAAAAAAAAAUGAAGAAGACGUUAGAGAGUAAUAAUGGCACCCAAUGCUAACCUACGUUUCUCACUGACAACUAUUUCCUCACUUCACUUUCACCAUCCAUGAGUUUUUUUUCCCUAAACGAUAAGUGAUUUUAUAAAUAAUCAAACCCUUUACAAUUUCAAGUAAAGACUUGAGAGAACUUACAAUCAGUGCAAACUAUCACCGAGGAAUCCAAAAUUCCUGAUUUUCAAUAAAGACUAGCGCAUAAGCGCUAAUCCUAUGAUUAAUAUGGUUAAGAUUCCUAUUAACUAAACAAAAUGAGUACAUGCGAAACAAAGACUUUAGGCUGUGUAUAUCCUCCAGCAAUGUAGGCAGUCGCAUAUCCUGAGGUUUCCUCUGCUGAAUGAGAUUGAGCGUUUGCUUAUUCUGAAUCUGAACUUUAAUCUUUUCCAAGUUCUGCAAUGUAGCUUUACUCAUCAGAAGUUUGAUAGCUGUUAGCUCAUCUAUUAGCUUGUGACCAGAGCUUCUUUCCUGUAAAGUCCAUCCUCUCAUCAGGUUUUGCUUGUCCGUAGAAACAGUGACACCAAUCUCAAGUUGAGGAUUGUCUUUACUCUUUUCUGUAGCAAACCUUAUUCUCAGUAUGCCUUCUUUCUCUUCCUGUUGCUGAGUGGAUCCUAUCUGAUCUCCUAUUUCUUCUGUGCUUAUCCUUGAAGUUUUUAUCAAGGCUUCAUCAUAUUCCAGCCAUUCCUCCUAAGCUCUCUAUAUUGUUCUCAGUGGGGGAUACUACUUUCCAUUGAAUUCCUUCUCGUUUCUGCUUUUCUAGAUUUGCCAAAGAAUGUUAGCAGUUAAAGAGAUGUGUUUGUUACCCUCUCUUCUUGAACUAGCCUCCAUCACAGUAGUCCACCACCUGCUGAAACAACCUUGCUGAUUUAGAAUUCCCUCCCAUUGGAUAGGCGUCAUUCUUCACACUUGUUUAACAUGAUUGCAGUUGAGCAAUGCAUGUUCUAUUGUCUCACUUUCCUCCCCACACACUAUGCAUGUUGGAUCACCUUGUUUGGUCUUGUCAUAGAUAAGUUAUCUUACUAGUAAUGCCUGGUUCAAGCAUUUCCAUAAUAAAAUCUUCAUCUUGUGCUUGAUAUUCAGUUUCCAUAGGUGCUUCCAACUUCUUUGACUUUGCUUGCUCCAGCUUGUACUAGUUAUGUCCCUGUACUCCUGCUCGUGUUCCUUCUAUCCUUCAGUUUGUACCCCUAUAAGCUGAGCUAACUGAGUAAUUUUCAUAUGUGCUAUAAAUCCAGAGUUUGUUGUCCUCUUUGUUUACUAAGCUUAUAGGGAUGCUUAGUAUUCUUUCUGCCUCUAUGGAGCUGAAGUUUCUGAAGCUUAGAUGCUUAUUCCAUCUUUUCUGGAUUAUCAGAUCUUCUACCUUUACCAGGUUACAUCAUUGUGGCUUUUAUGUGGUUACCUUUCCUUGGUGUUUAUCUGGAAUCUAGAUGUCCUCCCAUAUAUAGGUGCUCUUUCCAUUGCCAAUCCUUCUUCUAGUCCCUUCCUCUAUCAGUUGCUUUGCCCCCAUCAGUCCUUUCCAUAUCCAGGAUGCAUUCCCAGCUACUUUGCACUUGAGAAGUGAUUCCUUUGGACGAUAUCUAGCCUUUAACACUCUACUGACAGGCGUCAAACCUGUGCAAUAAUAAAUACCUGCUUAAAUAAAAUACAAAUUCUGUAUAUAGCGGUAAGCAGGGUCGAAUCCACAGGGACUGGGGAUAAUCUAAUUUCUUCUCAAGUUUCAGAUAUGGGGGGUUUUUGAAAAUGAUAGUAACUAAAUUACUUGGGAUAAAUUAAAAUAAAAUAAAAUAACUACAACUCAAAUAACUAAUUAUCACAAUAAAAAUAAUAAUGGACGAACUCUAGUCAAGAGACAACUUCGGAGAUGGUUCACUUAAUUCGAUCACAGAUGCAAGGAUUAUUCCAGUUACUAUAUGAUAAAUUAGUUAUAGUUGUCAUACACGCGAUAAACAACCAACUCUUCCUCAAUUUGUCGAUAGCCAAGGUACGACCGUUGACUAUUUCUCUAAUCAGGAAAUAACCCUAGGUACGACCAUAGAAGUUCAAUUCCCUAAUUGCAUGAAUAAUUAGAAGAGCCUAAUUCUAACCAAUCAACACGCUACGAGGGUCUCUUUAAGUUAGCCUGCCUAUCUCCCUGACACAAACCCAAUCAUGCCAGUUGCCACCAGUUUAGAAUAAUUAAACAAUUACGGAUUUAACUACCCUAAUUGGCUUCAGGUUAUUGAAUUAAUCUAGAAUCCGGGCCCUGGAUAAUCGAAUAAUAAAACAACCAUAUGAACAUAAAGCAGAAGAUAGACAAAUACCAGUGAAUAAUGAAAAUAAAUAAAAACUAAUUCGAUCUCACAAAUUUAGUAGAACCAAAUCCUUCGUUGUUCUUGACUAGACAAACUUAGCCACGCCUCAUGAGAAAAUCUUCAAGUAAUUUCACUGAGGUCCAGGCCAUCAAAGGAAAGAAUAAAACUAAACUAUGCUAAAAGCUAAACUAAAACUAUUGAUUGAUAAUCGUUCUCUGCACGUUUGUCCCCCUUUUUAAAGCCAAAACGAAGUCUAAUGCUAUCUCUAGUGGUCCCCACACCAAAUUCAAAGUCUUGUACGUUUCUUUUCCUAGAGUCCAAAUGACUCAUGCUUCUUAUCCGUGGUCCCCGCACAUGUGGACAAAGCCUCCAAAGUACUUGUUGCUCCAAGUCUCUCUACGUUGCUUUCUUUGAAAAGCCCAAAUGACUAAAUGCCUUGCACUAGCUUGUGGUCCCCACCAACUCAAGGACCUAAAGGUUGAAGCCCUUAGAAGUCUGCAUUUUUCCAUACAAGUCCCUCCUUUUUGGUAAUUUUCUGCUUCACUCCUGAAAUUGAUUCCAAAUACCAAAUAUGAGUAAAUAUCAGCAAUUAACACAAUAUUUGUCAGGGAUAGAAGGGGAAAUCAAUAAUAAAAUUACUAACAAAUUAUACCCUAUCAAACCAGCAGGUUUGGUUGUGUGAGUAAUCUCCACACCUGCUUUCCCAGUAGAGCUAUGUUGAAUGCCUCCAAAUCCUUGAAUCCCAAUCCUCCAGCUUUCCUGUCCAAUGACAUUUUACUCUAAGAUCUCCAGUGCAUUUUGUUCUUCCCAUUUGCCUCACCCCACCAAUAGUUUGCCAUUAUGGAAUUAAUCUCUUUGCAUAGUUUUUUAGGCAACUUGAAGCAUGACAUCGUGUAUGUUGGCAUUGCCAAUGCCACAGAUUUGAGCAUCACCUCCUUGCCUGCAGCACUUAACAGUUUAUUUUUUCACUUCUUUAGCCUCUGCUAGAUACUGUCUUUAAUGUACCCAAAAAGCUGCUGUUUGGAUCUUGUGACCACCAUUGGGAGACCCAAAUAUUUGCCUUGAUUGACCAUUUGGAUAUUUCCUAGUGCUUGACUGAUUUCCACCUUGGCCUCCUGCUCCAAAUUGUUGCUGAAGAUGAUUGAAGAUUUUUCUAAGUUGAUCAGCCGGCCAGUUCCUCUUUCGUACACUUUAAGUAUUCUUUUGAGCUCUACUGCAUUCUGGGAAUUUGCUUUACAAAAUAUCAAAGAAUUAUCUGCAAAAAUUAAGUGGGUUAGUCUAGGCCCCUGCCUACUAAUUUUCAUGCCUACAACUUUUUGUUCAGUUGCUGCUUUUUGGAGAAGGUUGGAGAAGCCCUCUGAGCAUAAGAAGAACAGAUAGGGUGACAGUGGAUCACCCUGCCUAAUUCCCCUCUGUGGUAUCACGUAUUCCUUGACCUCUCUAUUUACUAUGAAUGAGCAAGAAGCUGUUGAUAUGCAUUCCAUGAUCCAGUUCCUCCAUUUGUCAUUGAAUUCCAUUUUCUACAUCACAGCUUUCAGGAACCUCCACUCCACUCUGUCAUAAGCUUUUGACAUGUCUUAUUUCACAACCAUAAAUCCAUCUUUCCCUAGCCUUUUGUUUUUGAGAUACUGUAAAAACUCAUGGGAAAUCAAGAUAUUGUCUAGAAUUUGCCUCCCAAGAAUAAAGACUAACUAGUUUUUACUGAUGCAGAAGUGAAGAACUAGUUUCAACCUAUUAGCUAGGAUCUUUGCGAUUAUUUUAUACACUGUCAUACACAAGCUAAUGGGCCUGUAAUGCUUAAGGGAUGUGGGAAUCAUGACUUUGGGGAUGAGAGAAAUGAUUGUAUGGUUUACUGAUUUGAUGAGAUCACCUGUGUGGAAAAAGGUUUGAAUAGCACCUACCAGAUACUUUUUAACUAUGUGCCAAAACUUCUGGAAGAAGAUGGGAGGCAUUCCAUCUACACCUGGGGCUUUAUUAGGAUUCAUAGAGAAAAGAGCAGAUUUGAUUUCCUCUUCAUCUACAGGUUUAGUUAGAUUGUCAUUCAUACUACCUGAGAUCGUGUGGUAUACCAUUCAGCACUUCCUCUAUAUCCCUUGCCUCUGAUGUCUUGAAGAGUUCCCUAUAGUAACUAGCAAUCUCAGCACUGAGCUCAUUUUCAUUCUUAGUCCCUGUACCAUCCUCUUGCAGUAUGUCCAUCAUUCUGUUCCUUCUUCUUCUCCCUUCCACACUAGCAUGGAAGAAUCUGGUGUUCUUGUCUCCUUCCUUUAGCCACCGCAUCCUUGCUUUCUGGCACCAGUAAAUCUCUUCUUCUCUGUAGGCCUCAUUCAGUCUAUUCUUCAGACAGUUCCUCUUAUCCCUCUUACCCUCAAUGUCACUCAAUUUUAGCUCCUGCAGUUAUUUCUUAAGUCUUUCGAUAUUCUCUUUAGAAUUGCCUUGUAUCUUAAUCUUCCACUUCAGUAAUGUUACCCUACACCUUUAACUUUCUUUAUGACUUUGAACAUCCUUGUGCCCUCAUCUCUUUGCUUCCAAGCCUGUUUAAAAAUGUCAUUGAUUUCUUCUCUUUGGAGACAUCUCUUAUCAAAAUAGAACAUUUUCUUCCUUCUGAUUUGACCUGGCUUGGUAUAAAAAAUCAGCAUGCUGUGAUCUGAUGCAAAAGAAUCCUGAUGUUUACAAGUGACCUUUUCAAAGGUUUGAAGCCAAGGGUAGCUACACAAUCCUCUGUCCAAUCUUUGUUUUAUUUCCCCAACUCCCUUCCAGUUAUUGCACCAGGUCCAGAGAUGCCCCUCAAAGCCAACAUCCAUCAGCUAAUUAUCAUUGAUAAAGUCCUUAAAUGCCUUGAGACUUCCUUCCUCCCUCCAGUUGCCACCCCAUUUUUCUUCAUUCGACACAAUGUCAUUGAAGUCACCUGCCAGCAAUCAUCUGUUUCACCACAGAACUUUCCUAGCCUGAAUAACACUCCAUUGCCGUUUCCUGAUUUGGUCCUCAUUACUGGCAUAGACUCCUAUAAACCACCAAUUACAUCUACUUUCCUUAUCCUCAAUCUGAGCUUCAAUUGUAAAGGCAGUCUUAAACACUUGUUUUAUCCUAACCUUCUCUUUCCAUAGUAAUGCCAUCCCUCCUGCCUUGUUCAUGGCAUCCACAAUAACCGCUUCAUCAAAUUUCAGGAUAUUUUUCACCUUUUUCAGGUACCCACUUCUAUUUUUGGUUUCACACAAGAACACUAUAUCUGGAGAGGAGAGGUUGUUCAUCUCUCUCAAUUGGGGAAUUGUCAAGGGGCUCCCCGCUCCUUGACAAUUCCACACCAGGACUCUUAUUUAACCAUUGGGGUCUAUAAAGGGUUGGACCCCUCCCUCUCCUCCACAGAAUUUGAUGAGUUACCCACCACAUCCACGUUGUUCCUCUUCCCGUCCUGCAAAUUGUCCUCAUCUAUAUCUAUAUCAAGUUCCCCCAGCAUCCCUUUCCUUUUAUCAGACUUCCUUUCCCUAACAGUAUUAGUGUUCAUUUCCUUCAGUGGUUGCCUGUGUUUCUUUGGGGACCUCAGAACUCUCAAGAUUCUUCUGGACUGUUUAACCAGAGCCUCUUUAACCUUUGGCCCUCCUACAGUUUCCAUAUUCAUGGGUUCCAAUGCUGGUGUGCCCUCUUCCUUACCUUCAGACCAUGGCAUUUGGACUAUCAAGUUACCUUGUUCCUCCUCCAUCAUCAGAAAUUCAGAACCUGUUUCUGCUGUGCCUUUUUCUCCUGAUUGCAUUAGUCCCUCGUUUGUGCUUAGUCCCUUGUGAUCCGUAUCCACACCUCUUAGUUCCCCAACAUCCUGCAUUUUUCCUAAAUCAGAGCCUACAUUCCUAACAAAAUCAUUAUGCUUAUCUGAGUAUUGACUCAUGUCCUCUCUAAUGCCACUUCCCCUGGCUUCCUGGUCACUACCUCCUCUUAUCAACAUCCUAAUCUCAGUCUCAGUCUUUUUGGUUUUUGCAUCUCCUUUAUAUAUUUGAGCUUCCAAUGCUUUCUCCUAAUCUUCUGAUCUCCUUUGCUCCUUCCAUUCCCCAUCCUGGAGUCUCCAGUGGUGUUUUUGAGGGUUAAACACCAUACCAGCUUGUUUUUUUUGCGAGGAACUCCUCACAUUUCCUACUCUCAGCCAAGGACCAAACCGAUUAUCCUUUUUCCCCAACCCCUUGUUGCCUUACUUCUUACAAGUCCUUUCACUAUGCCCUAUGAUACCAUAGUUGUAGCAAAAAUCUGGGCAUCUCUCAUACUUAAAGCUGGCCUAUUUGGUUAGUUCACCAACCUUGAUGAUUAUUCCUCUCAGUAGUGGUUGGGAGAUAUCUGCCACCACUAGAAGUUUCAGAUAUCUUCCUUCUUUACUCCCAGUCUGAGGAACAAUCACCUCUCUUACCAUGUGAAAGUUUGAGCUUAUCUUUUUUCCAGCUUCCUUAGACAUCCAAUGUACCGGCAAGUUCCAUACCUGUACCCAUAAGGGUGGUAACCUGAAAGCUUAUCAUCCUCCUCUAUACCUUCAUACCACUUACUUAGCACCAGCACUUGGUUGUCUAUUAUCCAAGGUCCUCCAUUCAAAACCCUCUGUCUAUCACUCUCUGACGGUAAAAUGAAUUGGAACAGGUUCGGUCCUAGCUCCACCACUUGCAAUUCUCUUGGGUAGCUCCAUGCUGCUAUCACAAAGUUCUUAAUCCCAGUGUAGUUUGACACUUUCUCUCCCAUUGCCUUACCAAUCAAGCUAUUUUUGCACUCUUUAACCCCUCCAACUAUAUCCUCGUCCACCAUCCAUGAGUUCCCUUACCCCUUUUUCAACUUGCUCAGCUCUUACUAUCUCUUGAUUCUUAUUUUCUUCAAAAUAAUCCAAGCAAAUUUCCACUGCAAUUCCCAACUCUUUCACCUCCUGAAAAGCAUUCAGCUGUUGCUCCGCGUGCAACGGCCAUGUAGCCAUUGGCACGCCACUCCAUAUAUUCUCCAACGUUAAAUUCCAAGCACAAUGCGACACAAAACCGCCCACAGCCGGGUGCGACAAAACCGUCCACAGCCCGGUACUGUCACUUUCGUUUUUGAAAUCUUUGAUAUUUAAAUAAUUUGUGGAUGUCAAUUGGCAACAAUAAUAAUUGUUUUUCCUGUAAAUGAUUAAGGUUCGUUUGUUAUAAACCUGAUGCAAUACUGAAAAUAUGCACCAAAUUUUUGUUAGACGAAUAUUUGCCACAGCUAUUUGUCAACAUUUUCAAUCCACAUUUGUAUUUUUGUAGGAGAUGGCAGUAAUUAAGUGUGGUUAAUACUCGAAAGUUCAACAUAUCAUAGAACUUGAAGAUAAAUGAAUAUUUAGAAAUAGACGGACUGGCAGUUACAUUGGAUGUAGUUAAAUUUUUUUGUUAUACUUCUUAUAAUGUUUAACUGGCAUAAAUUACUGUAUUGCUCGUGACUUCUGAACUAGUAGAAUAUUUUUCUCGAAAUUCUGCGAAAAGACAACCAAGUCCCGCAAAAUUAUGAUGAAAGAAUCCUCAAUAUCGAUGUUUUACAAUUUACACCUGUAAACUUCGUUUUUUUUUUUCAAAAACAUUUUUGUAUUUCUAUCUUGGCAGCCACCUUUUGAACUUCUUUACAAAUAUUUUUCCAAGUCGAUCCAAUGCCAAAUCAAGUAGUACUACUAAUGCUCAGGUUUUCAAAUGCAUUACUUGUGUAUUUUAUUUGUUUAAUUAAUGUUUUCGUAAUCUGCUAGUGAUCAAGCUCAGAAGAAGCACAUGCAAAUAGCUAUGCCAUCGGAGAAGACAAAGGAAGCUGGCUGGAGGAAGAUUUGGUGCUAUCUGAGUAAUGUGUGGGUUGAAAAGAUUAAAUCAAGAUACACUCUCAACAGCUCUCUAGCCACUCUACUGCAAGAUAUAUGCUGCCUACAAAUCUCAUUUUACUGAAUUCUUAGUAAUGGCCAGAAAUUGGAAAGAAAAUGUUGCAUUAAUUAGUGAGACUAGUUCAACAAGAUAAGGGCUGUUUUUUCACUGUUUUAUUCAACUGCAACAUAUUCAAAAGUCUGUGGGGGCAGAAUGUAUCAAUGAUUCUUAACAAGAUUAGAUUAACAAGAGUAGGACAGUACCUUGUUCUCAAGAGCUCAAGGUUUUUGAGACUCACUUAACAGAUAAAAGGCUUUUUUUUUUCUUUUCAACUGUUUCAUUCAACUGCAACAUAUUCGAAAGACUGUGGAGCAGAAUGUAUCAAUGAUUCCACAUUUGCACCAAUUAAGCUGAAGACCUUGAACAAAUGUCUUGAAUAAGAUUCCCCAAAGCGAAAUAAGAUGAUCCACCUUCCUUUGUAGCUAGUCUGCUUUUCUCGCUGAAUUCUUUAACCCUUAUCCUUACUUCAUUCUCAACAUCCAUGAUUUCCCUUAUGCCUUUCUCUACCUGCUCGGCUGGCACCAGAGCUUGAUUUUCCUUUUGUUGAUUGUAGUCCAAACUAAUUUCCACAGCAAUUCCUAACUCUCUGACCAAUUGGAACGCAUUCAGCUGUUGCUCAGCUUGUACGGGCCAGGUGGCAAUAGGCACCCCACAAAAGAUGCUCUCCAACGUUGAAUUCCAGCCGCAGUGUGACACAAAUCCCCCAACAGCCGAAUGUGACAGCACGGCCAAUUGUGGAACCCAACCCACGACUUUUCCGAUCGAAGCCGUUUGAUUCAAGAACCCUUCGGGCAGCGCAAGUUCAAGAUUCUCAUAAUCCCUAGGAAAUCCCCCAUCCUUUGCAGGGGGCUGCCUGAGAACCCAUAGGAACCGAUGACCACUUCUCUCAAUGCCAUGAGCUAUUUCUUGAACUUGGUCCGGAUGGAAAGUCGCCAAGCUGCCAAAACAGAGAAAAACUACCGAGUUUUUAGGCUGACAAUCCAGCCAUUUCAUCAUUGCUGAACAAUCUUCACUAGAUUGAGUGUGGAUUUGGGACCUAUUUAGAAUAGGCCCGACAGGAAAGAUUGGUGGCAAGCUAGAUUUACCAUAAUAAGAAUCUAAUGAAAAAGAACUAAUAGCAUUAGAUUCAAGAUCACUGAAAGUGUUCACUAUGAUUCCUUUAGCCCUUCUGUAGUCACGGGUCCAUUUCAAAACGAAGGUCGACCAAUGUUCCUUCUGGGUUGCUAUAGCUGGGAGGACGCCGAUUGGAACUGGUUUUGCAAAACUAGGGAGAAUUAAAUGGCUUACCCCUUUAACCAGAUCAGAUAUGCCCCGGUUUUGCUCGUCUUCAAGGGUUUGGAAAUGAAGCAUCAGACCAAGAAAAGCCGCACCAGAGGUGAAGAAUAAGUAGGUAGGAACUCCAAGCUCGUCAGCAACGUCAAUCAUGGUCGUGCUAACCAAGUCAAUCAAAAGCCCAGAUAAUUUUUGAGUUUUUGAGGCUAUUUCUCUCACAUGAGGUUUCUGAUAUUCAAGGAGCUUGAAAGUGAAGCCCAUUCUAUGUGUGAUAUUCCAAUCAGAGGUGUCUUCUGGUGUUGGAAGGUGGUGGAAGUGGAGGCCUUCAACAUUUGUGGCAGCGACGAGGGACUGAAUUCUGGCUGUGCCAUGGGGAUCAAUUGGCAGCUCCAUGAUCAGGGCUGUGAUUGAUAAUUGAUUGUUUCUUGCAAGCAUCAGCUUGGCCAGCUCAAGGGCCUGUGUCAAGUGCCCCAUUCGAGGUGAAACCAUCAUCAGGAGCUUAAAUUUCUCCAUUUGAUACAGGAGAAGAAGGUUAAGAGGGGAUGGAAUUGUUGAUCUAGUGCAAGAAGGAUGCCCUUUGAGGUUAGUAAGUUCAGAGAUUUUGCAUAGAAGUUGCUUGUCAAAAUUGGGAUCUAUGCUAGUAUUUGAGAGAUUUUGCAGAUCUACGGCGGUCCCAUCUGUUGCAGAAGCAUGUGCUUGUAUUUGUCUGGAGUAAGGUGAUUCGCUGGCACUUGGAGAUCCAGACGACCAAACGUUUUUUUUUUUUUUUUUUUGUCAAUUUCUGAGAGAACUCAGACUUUUAGCAUAUAAAUCGAAAUCCCCGAACAACCUUCAAAAGCCGGCAACUUUUGAAGGCGUUCAGAGGACUUAUAAACUAACCCCCCAAACCCCCCAUAGUCGAUGUGGGAUAGAACCUCCACAGGGACCCUGCUGCUAGAAAGUAAAGACCCCCAAGUACCCCGGACGGAGAAUUCUGUCUUUUUGUCAAUUUCUGAGAGAACUCAGACUUUUAGCAUAUAAAUCGAAAUCCCCGAACAACCUUCAAAAGCCGGCAACUUUUGAAGGCGUCCAAGGGACUGACCAAACGUAACUUCAUUGACUUCAAUGCUUCUUCAUUGAAUUGACUGAGCUCUGGGGUCCUAUCAGGGGGCGAAUUUGUGGGUUGGUGUUGUUUUGGGGUUGUUUAAAAUUGAAAAUUGUCCAAAAAUUGGUGUUGUUUGUUGGUGAAUAAGGACUCGGGCUGGAAUGGUUGUCAGUGCCACCGGUUCAAAAGUUUGUGUGCAUUGUGCAUACAAUGUAAUAUUAUUUGUACAUAGUGUAAUACUGGAAUAACAACGAGUAACACUGGAAUAACAUUUUAUGGGUCUUACACAUGUUAAAAUUUGAACUUUACAAAUUUUGUUGGCCAAACUUUGGCCAUUAACUGUCAGGGACGAUAACCGUCCCUGCCCCUCCUUCGGUGAAUCAGGGGUCACCACAUCUGCGACCUGAGGUUUCUAAUAAAAAUUCUUUUAAUUUUUAUUUAUUUUGAAGUCGCUUUAGGAAUAGGACCCAUUAUCUUCCAUUGUUCUAUAGCCGCUCAUGAGUAGAGCGCAUCCCAUUUUGUUCUAUAGCCGCUCGUGAGGGUGUGGUGAUUUUUAUGCAUCUCCGCUCACGAGAUGAGCAGCAAUACAUUUUCUUUUCUUUUUUCUUUUCCUUUUUAAUAAAAUGUAACUUUUAACCGUGACUAUUUUUUUUCCGUAAAACUAAUUAUGUGUUAUUUGGCUCAAUUAGGGUUUAAGGUUUAACGUUUUACAUGAAAUCCUAAUUUCCAAACCAUCACAGUAUAGCCCUUUAACUCUAAUUUUCAAAUCAAAAUUCUUUAAUCAUAUUACUAAAACUCAAUUACUAAAAUCUUAUUAUAAACCAGAAUUAUCAAAAAAUUUAAUAUAUGAUAUUGAAAUAAAGUUAAUUUUAUAAAUUUAGAUGAUAAUCUAGAAAUUCGCCUUUUUCCCUGGCGAAUUUCUAAGAAUAUUGCUAAAAUAAAAAUCUAUCAUAAAAUUGGUGUUUUUUUAAAGUUAUUUUUGAUAUUAGGGUCAUCGCAAUAACGGUGAAUUUCUAAGAAUAUUGCUAAAAUAAAAAUCUAUCAUAAAAUUGGUGUUCUCUAAGAGUUAUUUCUGAUAUUAGGGUCGCCGCAAUUACGAUAUUAAAAUUUAUAAAUUUAUAAAAUUAACAUUAUUCUUGAUUAUCAUCUAAAUUUAUAAAAUUAACAUUAUUCUAAUAUCAUAUAUAUUAAAUUUUUGAUAAUUCUGGUUUAUAAUAGGAUUUUAGUAAUAGAGUUUUAGUAAUACAAUUUAAGAAUUUUGAUUUUAAAAUUAGGGUUAAAGGGUUAUACUCUCAUGGUUUGGAAAUUAGGAUUUCAUGUAAAACGUUAAACUAAUUGAGCGAAAUAACAUAUAAUUCGUUAUACGGAAAAAAAUCGUUGCAGUUAAAGUUAUAUUUUAUUAAAAAGGAAAAAAAAAAGAAAAAGAAUGGCGAUGCAUAAACAACAAUAAAACCUCAUAGGACAAAAUGGGUCCUAUUCCUUCACCGCUCAUAAAUCUUUACAAAAAUUGAAAAAAAAAAUUAAAGCGACUCCAAAAUAAAUGAGAAUUAAAAGAAUUUUUAUUAGAAGCCUCACGUCACAGAUGCGGCGACUCCUUAUUCAGCAACCCACCUCAAAUAACACCAAUUAUUGGACAAAUUUCAAUUUUAACGAUAUUCCAAGAAAUUCACCCCUAGCAGAGAUGCUGUCGAGUUGAAUCGAUGUCGAGUAAUACCAUACUCGAACUCAAACUCGGAUGUUAUGAGCAUUACUUGAGUUCAAGUUCGAGCUCGACCAAGUCCCAUAUUUCAGACUCGAACUGCACUCGAUAUAGUUGAAAAUAACUCGAGCUCAAAUUCAUAUAAGAUUUGAAUUCGAAUAUCCAAGUUAAGCUCAAAAAAUGAGCUCGAAAACCUUUGUUUCCUAGACCAGAAUUCAGCAAAAAUUGAGUGCAAAAAAUCUGUGCUUUCCUUCAACAAAAUAGCAACUCAUAUUAAAACAUGCAGUGUUCUUCAUUUCAACAAAAAUUCCAACCAUGUGAUUCAAGCACUUUAAAAUCCACAGUACCAAACUAGUUAAUAUGACAGUUUCUCAAUAGCCAAAAUAGGCAUGUAAGUAAAAGAAAUAGAGAACUUGAUAUUAAUAGAAUUUAGUCACAACACACUAAUUUGAGAUCAAGUUCUGUAUACAACAUUCUAUUAAGAUCCAUUGUCAAGAUUCUAUACAACAAUUCAUAUACAGAUUUAGUCAAAAGUCAAAACGCAACUUGGUAGCUGCUAUAUAACAUGCACUUGAGUAGAAAAAAAAAUCACCAGAUUCACUACAGCUGUCCUGAUUUUGCAUAGAAGUUGCUUGUCAAAAUUGGGAUCUAUGCUAGUAAUUUUUUUUGUCAGUAAGCAGAAACACACACACCCAAUUAGAUUAGAAACACUCGGAAGUUAGCAGUUAAACAACCCAUGAAGAGUAAUCUAAGGGGAACCCACAAGAAACCUAGUAAUUGGGUGUGUGUGUGUAAUUGAGAGAUCUAUGCUAGUAAUUGGGAGUGUUUUUUAAAAACUAAUUUUUCAAAUGCAAUAAAAAUUUUUAAAAAGCACUCUAAAAGGUAAUCUAAAAAUUAGUUUAACUUUUUUUAAAAUUUUAAAAAAUAUCUCAAAAUAUAUUCUAAAAACUCUUCUACUUUUAAAUAUUCCAAAAUAUUUUCUGAAAAUAUUCCAAAAUAUAAUCUAAAAAUUCUGCUACAGCAAAAUUUUUUACAAACACCUCCAAAAACAGCUAAUCCAAACGGAGUAUAUUUCUUCGGCAGUCCUAUAUCUUGCAGAAGCAUGUGUUUGUAUUUGUUUGGAGAAAGGUGAUUUGCUGGGACAUAUGAUCCAGAGGACAGUUCUGUUGGAUCACGUAAGUUCAUUGACUUGACUUCAAUGCUUCUUCAACAAACCCAAAAAUGAUUACCAGAAGCCCGUGACAAGGGUAAGCCUAAAAUGACUUGACUAGCGCCUGACCAAUUGGUUCGAUAAAUUGUGCUAGGCUGGUAUUUAUUCUGUAAUCAUUCUCUUAAGUGGAGUCUAAAUGAUCUAAAUGUACAGUGUAAUUCUUUGUCAUUUAACACAAACCUGUUAAACAAUUGAUAGAAAUAUAUACCUAUAGAGUUUUGUGGUCUUAUGAACAUUAGAGAAGCAAUUUAAGUUAUAAGUACCUUUAUCAAUGAUUAAUUGUUCAAUCCUCUAACCAAAAGUAGCUAGUUGUUUUAAUUGAGAAUUGGUUUGUUUCCUCUAAACUCUAAUGUUUGCACAAAUUGCAACAAGGUCGCUAUAUUAAAGAUCUUAACGUGCUGUGACGUUGAUUGAGAGAAGGACCAAUCAUUGCUCCAACAAAUUGAUAGCCUGAAUCAAGUCUUGAUGCUCCUUUCAACAGAGGUAACAACAACGUAUCCUCACAAGAACAUUUGUCCUCAAAAGUUUUAAGGGUAAAUUACUAUUUAACUCCAUGUCACAUUUUAUCGCAUAAUUCUCCUAUGGUUCAAUAGUAUUUGCUUGACCCUGUGUUGCUUUAUUAAAGUAGAAAAUGAAUAGAAAGCAGCUCCAGUUUAAUGAUAUCUGGUUAAACUUUUUCCAAUUUGACCAGUACACCCUCUUGAAAUGCAUUUGAAAUAUGAAAUAUGGCAUCUGCUAACAUAUGGAAAAUCCACUUAACUCCUCUUGUGGCUUUGCAUUUGACUAUAUAAUCCCAUUGUAGUUUAGUAGUACCUACAUAGUAUUAGUUUAAAAUUAGGGUUAAAAAUAGAAAAGCUCCAUGUGGUUUCAUAUCAUACGCGUCGGUACCCCAUGGUUUGAAUUAUUCGAAAAAGUCGACGAAAAUCGUUAAAAUAGACCGAGUUGAGUGAAAAGACGAAAAUACCCUAAAGAUGCAAAGGUACCACUUUCAGUCAAUUGAAGUCUAUUCCCAAAUUGCCGCUCCCACCACUGGCCAGCCCAUAGCUCCUCCUCCACCACUUUCAUCUCUCCAAUUCACACUUCCAAAUUCCAUUCAUUACUAGUUAAGAGUCAGUAGUCACUCUUGAGUUACUAUUAGUUUUCUUUUGGGAAGAAAAAAAAAUGGCCUUAUCCUCCCCAGUUCUCGCCCUCUUUCAUCUCCAACUUCCAUCACAUAAAUCAUUAUCAUCAAAGUCCUUCACUCGAAAGCUCAGUGUCCACCUGAUCAGAGCUUCCGUAUCAGAAAGACCAUCAUCAAUUUCCCCACCAUCUCGGCAACCCAGCCCACAAAGCUGCCGUUCAGAAAAAUCCCGGGUGACUAGGGGCUUCCCUUGAUUGGCCCUUUCAAGGACAGACUCGACUACUUCUACAACCAAGGCUGAAAGACCUCUUCACCGGCACUUUCAUGCCCUCCACUGAACUCAUCGGCGGCUACUGUUUCCUCUCCUACCUUGAUCCAUCCGAGUCCAACCACGCCAAGCUUAAGAAGCUCAUGUUCUUCCACCUCUCAUACUGCUGAGACCAUGUCAUCUCGAAGUUCCAGAAGAGCUACACCGAGCUAUUCGACGGCCUCAAGCAGGAACUCGCCACCAAUGGCAACGCCAAAUUCAAUGAAGCCAAUGAUCAGAUAGCUUUCAACCUCCUAGCUCGAUCCCUCUAUGACGCAAACCCCGCCGACUCACAACUCGGCCGUGAUGGCCCUAAACUCGUCGGAAAAUGGGUAGUUUUCCAGUUUCAUCCCGUCCUGAAGGUCGGCCUCCCCAACGUCCUUGAAGACCUGUUGAUCCACACCUUCCCUUUACCUCCGGCUCUGUUACCUGCAAUUGAGUGAGAGUGAAAUGAUUUUAAUUAAAGUGUGAAGGGUACAAUAGGUAUAUCUGGUGAAAGUUUGUGAUAAAAUUUUAUUUUCCGUAAGAAACACGCGCCUUUCCAGUGCGUUUAAUACAAACGCUUUACAUUUGACAUUUUCCGUCGACUUUUCAGAAUAAUUCAAACCAUGGGGUACCGACACAUAUGAUAUGAAACCACAGGGGAUUUUUCUGUAUGAUAGCUAUACCACUGAGGGCUUUUCUGCUUUUAACCCUUAAAAUUUUGAUGUAUAUGUAAAUGUCCCAAUAUUGGUAUUAGUAUUAUUUUGUUUCGAUUAAAGAGAGAUUUCAAAUCUUAAAAUAAAGAGUGGAGAAAGGAGAGAGCUUCAGAGUUGAACCAAGAAUCUUAUAAUCGCAUGGCUAAUGUUUCUCCUAGCUAGCCUAGGUCUUGGGUCAUUGUUGAUACUUAUUUUAUUUGUUAAAAGAGUUCUCACAUUAAAAACUUAUUAGAACUUUGUUUGCCAAAGGAAACAAAAUGUUGUAUGUUGGAAAAAUGUUUCCCACUGUUUAUUGUUCCCUUGGCAAACAUUGUGCUGAAACAAAAUUUUUUUUUUUUUAUCUGUGAGUGAAAGGUUUUAAACCCUGAAUCUCCUACUUAUAAUUUCUUUUAGCUUAACAUCCAAUCCAACUCUUCCCCUCCUGAAACAAGAUAUGGCUACAGAUAAAUUGAACUAACAAUUGUUACAUCAAAUAAUUUAUGAGCACAUAGUUCCACAAUUUCACUCUCAUAUUCUCCAUAGGAUCUUUUCUCAGUUCACUUGACCAAAACGAAAAACUGGAAUAACAUUUACCGGUAAAAAAGUGUUUGAUAAUCCAGCAAAUGUUUAAAACUAAUAAAUUCAGUAUUUUUUUUCUAUUAAACUUAUUUGACAAUAGAAUUCUCUCAUUUCUGAAUACAGCAUGCAUGUAGUAGAGUACUUUAGUUCAACUCAAAUGUAUUGAUUAUCAAACCGAAUGGAUAUGACUUUGUGAUUACAGCAAUUAAAACUUCAAGACUGAGAUUUCAAUUUUCAGAUUUCACACUUCAAUUUUUAGUUUUUACCAAACCUCCCCAAUACUUGGGAAGCUUGAUGGAGGCUACUGCACAGAGUCAACAUCAAAUUCUCAAAGGCCACACGAAAUGAACAGCCUUCCUUCAUAGCUUGCCUACAUUUCUCAGUAAACUAUUUGACAUUUUUCCUCACCAUCCAUGACUUCCCUUAUUCCUUUCUCUAUUUGUUCUGCCUUCGCCAAAGGUUGAUGCUCAUCAGCUUCGUUGUAAUCCAAACUAAUUUCCACAGCCAUUGCUAACUCUUUCACCAGUUGGAAUGCGUUGAAUUGUUGCUCUCCAACAAUGGCCAUGCAGCAAUUGGCACACCACACCAAAUACUCUCCAAUAUUGAAUUCCAGCCACAAUGUGACACAAAUCCACCCAUAGCAGGGUGUGACAAAAUGGCCAUUUGUGGAAUCCAGCCCACAACUUUUCCAAUUAAUGCCGUUCGAUCCAAGAAUCCUUCGGGCAAAGCAAGUCCAUGAUUUUCAAAUUCCCCUGCAAAUUCUCCAGUUUUUGCCGGGGCUGCCUAAGAACCCAAAGAAAUUGGUAGCCACUUUUUCAAAUCCUACUACUUUUUCUUUCACUUGAUCCAGCACAAAACUACCCAUACUACCAAAACAGAAGAAAACAACUGAUUUUUCCGGUUGGAUAUCCAGCCAUUCCAUCAUUUCUAAAUGGUCAUUAGUGGAUUGAGUUUGGAUUUGGGACGUAUUGAAAACUGGACCAAUAGGAAAAAUUGAUGGCAAUCUUGACGUAUAUGAUGACACAAAUAGAUUAUGUCCUAAAAAAAUAGAGAAAAAUGCAGUUUUGGUACCCAAACUUUGACGCACGAGCAGUUUUAGUCCCCAAAUUUUGGAGGAAAACAAAUUUGGUACCCGAAUUUUCAAAUUUUGAGCACAUUAAGUACCCUGAACGAUUUUUUCCCAAAUUGCUACAAAAAAAAGCCACGUGUCAGGCCACAAUUGUAUGAAAAAAGCGCAAAAAAAUUUCAAGUGCUAUUCUAAUACUAACUAUUAAAUUUAAGGACUAAUAGCAUAAUAAAGUAAAAAUCCAAGGACUAAAAUAAAAGAAGAAGAAAACGAUAGUGCACUGAAACACGUAGAGUCUUCACUUGGAGUGCACAUCGUUUUCACUUCUACUUUAGAAUUUGUUCCAUUUUGAUUGUCAGAGGUGGUUCUACUGGAGUUGAGCUUGCUGCAGAAAUUUCUCCAAAAUGGAACAAAAGUGAAUUUGAACUUAGGCUAGGGAGAUUUUCACCUGAUCCGCUGUGGACAGGACGAUACUUUUCCACAGUAGACCCUCUUUGGGAGAAGAAUUCAUCAUCCUCGUCGGAACCCAUGUUGCUUGCAGCACCAUUUCUGUAGUCUUGGUGGAAAUGGUGGUGCUGCUGCUGUUGACGUGGCAGCGGCGGCAGUGGUUGGAGCUCCGGCAAGCCUAGCCGUUGUUACUGAAGUGAAGCUAAAACCGAAGUUGAAGGAACAGUAUUAUGGUGAUCUUCUGAGCUCUGAGGAACAUUAGAUGCCUCAUUUUUAACAUCUCUGGAGCUUACUAGUGCUCCCAGGUAGAGAAAUUCUGAGCUGUUAGAGGAAGGAGUGUGGCGGGGCAGCUGUGGCGGCAGAGGUGUUCCCGGAAGUGGGUUUUUUGUGGUGGUACUAUCGGAAGGAGUGGCGUUGGGCGAGAAAAGGCGAAGACUGUCUGUCUUGGAGAAAGCCCGUUGGUGUUGGUGGUAGUAGCGGAGGCGUCGGUGGUGGUAGAGGAGGAUAAAGGCAGCAAUGCCGGCGAUGAAGACGGUGGAGACAAGGGAUACUGAGACAAUGACAGCUAUCAAUUUGUGAGAAAUGGGCCUGUUAUUAGAGGAAGAGGAAGAAUGGGGGAGGAUGAGGGAGGAGAUAUUGGCAGGAAAAGUUGACAAAACAGAGGGGAGGGUGGUGAAGAAGCUGGCGGAGGAGACCAAAUAGAAGGGAAAAAUGGGUUGUUUUCGGACUGAGGAUUAGUGGGAGGUGAAGUGAGGAGAAAGCGUACUUUGGUUGGAGCUGAGGUUGAGACUGUGGGGAGGGGAAAGGAGGUUGAGGUAGGGUGGUUGGUGGAGGAGCUGAUGGAAGAGAAUGGCUAACAGGGAACAAUGGUUGAUGGAGGAUACGGUGACCGUAGUGGUGGCUAGUGGUGGUGGUGGUGGUGGUGGAGGAGGAGGAGGAAGCUGUGGUGAAGAAAGAAGUAAAGAAACAGCAGUAAAUGCAAAAGAAAAUAUUACUAAUACUGGUAAAAAUCUUCAUCUUUAGCUAGAGAAAGUCUUUAAUUAACGAGCUCUGUUUUCUCCUCUUCAGUAUCUGUUCCAUUAACAAAAAAGUAGUAGUGAAAACGAUGUGCACUGCAAGUGAAGAAUCUACAUGUUCCAGUGCACCAUUGUUUUCUUCUUCUUUUAUUUUAGUCCUUGAAUUUUUACUUUAUUACACUAUUAGUCCUUAAAUUUAAUAGUUAGUAUUAGAAUGGCACUUGAAAUUUUUUUGGGCUUUGUUCAUACAAUUGUGGCCGGACACGUGGCUUUUUCCGGUAGCAAUUUGGGAAAAAAUCGUUUAGGGUAUUUAAUGUGCUCAAAAUUUGAAAAUCUUUUUGGUCCAAAAUUUGGGGACUAAAACUACUCGUGCGUCAAAGUUUAGGUACCAAAACUGUAUUUUUCUCCAAAAAAUAUUAAAUAACAAAAGUCUUGUGUAUUUGGUAAGAAAAAUAACAAAAGACGCAAUUACAAUAUGAAGUGUAUAAUAAGAUGAGGUGAGAGUACUAUUUCUUGUUCACCUGGUUUAACCAACUGCUUUAUGAGUAAUUGGCUACUAAAAAAACUUUAAGGCUUUACUUAGAUAUAAGUCAAGGGAUCAAAUCUGUUGGCCUGUAUUCUGAAAAAUCCUAGCCACUAAUAGAGUUUUAAAACUCUAUUUGGAUGUAGGAUGCAUUCUAAAAGUCUAGACAUUUUUAGAAAUUUCGCUAGCGAGUGCGUAGGCAUCUGUUUGGGUAGGUGAUGAUUCAGUCCCCUCCGAAUUUUUCUUGGACCUCUCUAGGUCCCCCAUUUUCCUAGUAUAAAGUAGGUAUAGUUCUAAAGUAGAUUCUAUCGUGUCCGGGAAAAAAAGAAGAAGAAGAGAGAGUACUACUUCUUGCUCACCUAGUUUUUUUUUCCCUCUGCAUUGUCUAUCUAAUAAAUCUCACACCCUUACUUUAGGGUAAAAUAAAUAUCUCAAAGUAUAUUCCCAUGUUAUUUAGCAAUACUGUCAUAUAAAUAGCAAAAUUUUUUGCAUGUAGAGAGAAAGGAUAGAUUGUUGUAAUAGUAAAAAAAAAGAAGAGAGAGAGAGAGAGAGAGAGAGAGAGAGAGAGAGAGAGAGAGAGAGAAGAGCUAACAACUACUUAUCCAAUGAACGCGCAAUGAAUUUUCUGUUUCACACCCUGUGCCACUCACUGUCCCACUUUUCAUUAUAUUGCUAUUUCUCUUUCAUAAAUAUCAUAUUUUAGUUCUUUUUUGUUUCAUAAAGAUUCAAUAACUAUUAAUUCAGUAAAAACUAAAUACAACAGUUUCAAAAAAGUAAUAUAUAAUAUAAAAUUAAAAAUACAACAGAAAAUUCAUAAAAAAUUUCAUUUUUUCUGCAUUUUGAUUUUUGAGUUUGCUAAAUUUUGUAUAUUAAUAGGUUACAAUUUUGUCAUUUAUUUUAUAAUUAAUUCUUUCAUAUUAUCUUACUAAAUGUGCAUUAAUUGGCGGAAUCUAUUCACUUUUGAAAAUUUGCAUUUAUUGCAGGGAGUGGAACAAAAUACCAUAAAAAUGUGUCAAAUUUGACGGUAGUCAGCAGAAGAUUUUGAGUAGCAGUUAACAAGAUGGAGACUAAUUCGAUUAUGUUUCCUUAUUUAGUAGAAAAUAUGGAGAGCAGAUCCUCUGUCCAAUAUUUUAUGUCCAAUUUCAUGUCCAAUGUGAAACUACGUAGUUUCACUUAUUAUAUUUGCUGAUGUGGCAACUAAAAAUAGGUGGCUAUUUGGCUGCCUUAUACUUCUUUUUAUUCAUCUUUUUUGGAUUUCCUUUGUUUGCACAACUUUGUUACAAUUCCCAUCUUUUUUAAAUAUUUUUUUGUAUUUGUUGUGUAAACAAAUACAAAGUUGUGUAAAUAAAGGAAACCCAAAAAAGAAGAAAGAAAAAGAAAUAAAAGGUAGUCAAACAGCCACCUAUUUUUAAUUGCCACAUCAGCAGAUAUAAUAAAUGAAAUUAUGUAGUUUCCCAUUGGACAGGAAAUUAGAUACAAAAUAUUGGACAGAGGAUCUGCUCUCGAAAAUAUGCGACAGACUAGGAGAAAAAGAAGGACACUUCCUUUUUCUUUGUUUUGGUAGUUUCCAAAGGACAAGGAAGUCAACAAGGACAAGGACUUUUUUCCUGUGCUUUCUUGGUAGCCAUAUAGGAGUAGACAAAGGAGAUAUAGACGAAUUAGAUAGGAGAAUAGCAAACCACUUUUUAUGACUUUUUAGCUUUUGAAUUUUUCGUCUUAUUUGAUUGUUCUUUCAAUUGUUCCAUCGGAUUGAUCAUCUCAAUUGAGAGACGAUGUAUGAAACAAUUAAUUCUGCAAUUGUGUGUGGGUUUUCUUCAACGGAAAUAAACUAAAUCUCUUUUUUAGUCAAGGGACAACAGAGGCUUUGGUUCAUCCAAAAAUUGUGAGAUCGAAUUAAUUUUAUUUAUUCUCUGUUGGUAGUGUUUAUGGUUGUUUCGUUAAUUGAAUAUCCUGGACCCGAACGUUGAAUUAAUUUAGCAACCUAAUGUCAAUUGUAGCGUUAAAUUCGUAAUUGUUAAAUUACUCUAAAAUAGUGACGACUGGCAUGAUUGGAAUUGUGUCAGGCGAAUACGCAACCUAAUCUAAAAUAACCCUGGUAGUGUAUUAUUUGAUUAGAAUAGGGCUCCUCUAAUACGUAAGGCAAUUGGGGAAAUAAAUCUUACGGGCGUACCAAGAAUUAUUUCUCGAUUAGAGUAGUGAUUAACGAGCGUAUCUUAGUUAUCGACACAGUAAGGAGGAGUUGACUGUCACCGCUUGUUUGACAGUUAUAACCUAUUUAUUAGUUAAUAAUUGGAACUACCUUUGCAUCGAGAAUCAAUUAGGUGAACCAUUGUCAAAGUUAUUUCUUGACUAGAGCUUAGUUAUUAUUAAUUUGAUUUUAAUAAUUUGUUCUUUAAUUUUUAGUUGGAUAUUUACUUUUAUUCGAAUAGUUUAAUUAUUACCAUUACUAUAAAAAAAACCCCCAUUAUUAGUUUGAACUUCAAAAGAGACAAAUAUGCCCAAUCCUUGUGGUUUUGACCCUACUUAUCACUAUUUACAGAAAUUACAUUUUAUUUGAGCAGGUAUUUAUUAUUGCACAGGUUCGACAACCUGUCAAUUUUUGCGCUAUUGCCGGGGACUGGCGUUAGUUAAUUUGUUUGUUUUUAAGUUCAUUUUCGUUUUAAUUUUCUGGUAGUUUUCUAAUUUAUGCCUCGGUCUUCUCAUACAGGCGAAUUGAUUUUUGACCCUGAAGUAGAGAAGAACGCGCGCCGAACAAAAAAAAGACCAGACAACUCAGAGAAGAGCAAUUUGGUACUGCAUCUCAGAGACCUGAUCCAGAAGUUGAAUCAACAAGUUCGCUUGGCGAUACUUCGAGUGACCCGGAUCGAGGGGAAGUCACUAUGGCUAAUGCACAGACAUUAAAGGAGUUGGCUGCUCCUAAUUUAAAUCAGCAGCUCUUAUGCACCACUUUUUCGAAUUUAAAUGAUAACACCCCGUUUGAGUUAAAAUCUAGCCUAAUUUAUAUUUCACCAUCUUUUCAUGGUUUAUCAGGUGAGGAGUCUCAUGAACAAUUGCAAGAGGUCGAUGUUGUUUGCAACAGUAUAAAUUCCCAGGAAAUUACGGAAGAACAGAUAAAAAUGAGGGCAUUCAUUUUCUCUCUUAAAAACUCAGCAAAAGAUUUGCUGUACUACCUAUUUCCAGGUAGUAUCACCUCUUGGGAUCAGUUGAAGAAAAUAUUCUUGAAAAAAUAUUUUCCUGCAUCUCGAGUUGCAAGUCUGAGGAAGGAGAUAUGUGGUAUCAAGUAACACCCAGGAGAGUCGCUCUACUAUUAUUAGGAGAGAUUCAAAAAAUUAUGCAUCAAAUGCCCUCAACACCAAAUAAGCGAGCAAUUGCUCAUUCAGUAUUUCAAUGAGGGGCUACUCUUCAGAGACACGAGCAUUAUUGAUGCUGCAAAUGGUGGGGCGUUGGUGAACAAAACCCCUCGAGAAGCAUGGGAGUUAAUUGAAGAGAUAGCCGAAAAUUCGCAGCAGUUCGAUACAAGGGAGGAUAACCCAAUACGUAGAGUGAAUGAGAUAGAAUCAUUAUCUAUCCAACAACAGUUAUCUAAGUUAACAUCUUUUGUCAGGCAAUUAACUGUAGAAAUUGCUCCACAAGCCAAGGUGUGUGGAAUUUGUACUGUCAUGGAUCAUUCUACAGAGAUGUGCCCAAUGAUUCAAGAAGAGAAUGCGAAACAAGUAAACAUGGUUGGUCACGCGCCCGCGCCAAAAAAGCCAUAUGACCCAUAUUCAAACAUGUAUAAUCCGGACUGAAGAGAUCACCCUAAUCUCAACUAUGGUGGAAACAGGCAAUCGAAUUUUCUGCCGAAUAUACCGUAAGGGUAUCAACAUCAAUAACAACCUUAUCCACCACCUCCUCCUCCAAGUUCAAGUCCGUCUUUAGAUGAGAUGAUGAAGCAGUUAAUUGCUAGCAACGCGCAAUUUCAACAAAAGACGGACUCUGAUUUACAGAAUCUAAGGAAUCAAAAUGGACAGAUGCAAGCAAUGUAGAGUUAGAUAAAUCAGAUGACAAUAUCAAUCAACUGUCUGGAGUCUCAAGUUCACGAAAAAUUGCCCUUUCAACCUGAACUGAACCCAAAGAACGUAACUGUAAUGACCUCAAGGAGCGGGAAAGAAAUUCAGGCAUCCAAACUCUUGAUUUCAAAGGACAAGAAUGAAGAAAAGAUUGAGAAAGAACUUGAGAAAAAGGACAGAAAUAGCAAAAAUCCAAUGGUACACCCUGACCCAAUCAUUGAAGUUAAAACUAACCCGCCUCCCUUUCCUAAUAAGUUGGAAAGAUCGAAGAAACAGGACAAGGAGAAAGAGAUUUUGGAGGUCUUCCAUAAGGUAGAGAUUAACAUUCCCCUACUAGAUCCAAUCAAGUAAGUGCCAAAGUACGUGAAAUUUUUGAAGAACUUGUGUGUCAACCGAGGAAGGCUGAAAAGGCUGAAAAGUACGCGAAAUUAUUGUAGGGGAGAACGUGCCAGCGGUUCUAUAGAUGAAACUCCCACCGAAAUGCGGGGAUCCAAGUAUGUUUACUAUCCCCUGUAGGAUAGGUAAUACUCUGAUUAGAAAUACCAUGUUGGACUUAGGAGUAUCAAUCAAUAUAAUGACUAAAUCUAUUUAUGCUUCUUUGAACCUAGGUCCGUUAAAAGAAAUUGAGAUAAUAAUCCAAUUAGCUGACCGAACGAAUGUCUAACCUGAUGGGUUGGUUAAAAUUAAUGAAUUGGUAUUCCCAACUGAUUUUUAUGUACUUGACAUGGAUGAUAAUCAUUCUCCCGACCCUUACCUUUGUUGUUAGGUAGACUCUUCUUGAGUACUGUCGAGACUAAGAUUGAUGUUAGUAAGGGUACUCUCGCAAUGAAAUUUGAUGGAGAAAUAGUAUACUUUAACAUUUUUGAUACAAUGAAACAUCCUGUUAACUCUCAUUCUAUAUUUGCCAUUCAUGCUACUAAUCUCUCUGUGCAAGAACAUUCUAUAUUUGCCAUUCAUACUACUAAUCCCUCUGGGCAAGAUUUUUUGAAUUCGAUUGUAAGGGUAUGUUUAAAGUUGUCGCGAACCAGUAUCAUGGGAUGAAAGCACUUUAUGAGGUGAAAAUAAGUAGAAAAUUAAAGAAGAUGGUUACACUCAAUGACUAUUUGGAUUCCGAAGGAAUGUCACUGAAUGUGAGAAAAUCUGAAUUACAUCUAGAUUGAGAAAUGGUAUUUCAUGUCUAGCCAAACACGUUAAAGAAAGACGCUUAUUGGACGGCAACCCAAUUUCUUUUAGCUGUUUAUUUAGUUUUAGUUGGUCGCUUCAAUGUGUUUUCUUAAAGUUUUUCUAAAUUUUUGGUUUAAUUUUUCGUUUUUAAUGAUUCAGAGGUGUCCCCCUGACAUGAUGCGCCAACGUCAAUAGGGCACGUGAUAAUGUGUAACUCCCAAGACUUUCAUCAAAACGGUUUUCACCCUCAUGACGCGCCAGUGUCGGGUUGCUUGGAGAACUCUUCCUUUGAUCCUGGAGCGGAUUGACCGACUUGGCGCGCUUACGUCAAUAAGGCGCGUGGUAACUUUUAAUUCAGUAAGUCUCCAUCAGAAGGGUUUUCACCCUCAUGACGUGCCCGCGUCACUUGAGCACGUGGUAAUGUGCAAUUCUCAAAGUUUUCAUCAGAAGGAUUUCCACCCUUAUGACGCGCCCGCAUCAAUCGGGCACGUGGUAACUUUGAACUCAACGGACAUUCAUCAGAAGGGUUGUUGCCUCCUUGACGUGCCCAAGUCAUGUUCGAGGGAAAGGUAUAUAAUUUAAAAAAAAAUAGAAACUUUUUUUUCUUCUUCUUUCUUUUUCUUUCUUUCUUCCUUUCCUUUCUUUCUCCCCUAUUUCCCAUGGUUCUCUCUCGACCAAAACCUACGGAGCACCGCUUAUCUCCUCGCGCGGCCACUUUCUCACUCACUCACGUUUUUUCUCUCGCUAACCACACCUGCCACCACCAAGUCUGUCGUCGUCUUCCCUACCGCAACUCCCCACGUCGUCACUGUCUUCAUUGACCCACGGCCAUCUGUCGCCGCCUUCCACAUCGCGUACCGCCGUCUGCCACUUCCCUCACGUGCCUCUCUCAUUGCGUGCCGCCAUGUCCCUCUCUCUUGCGAAGUCCUAUGCACACCACCAACGCAUCCCUGCCACUCUAAUUCUCCUACUGUCGAGUGAUCAACACUUCUGUAACUAUCAAAGAUUGAUGAUGGUUGAUUAACUCUAAUUCUCCUAUUGUCGAGUUUUAGAUAUAAAAGUGUAUCAAGUUAAUUUGGUUGAGUUCAAAAAUAUCUCUUUAGUGAAUAUCGAUGAUUUUGUGAUUCUUAUAAUUUUUGGUUAACUUUUCUAGGUAUAGGGAAUAACUGCUUGACAUUUUCAUCUGAACUAGUCCAAUUAUUAACUUUAGUUCUCCAUGUUUGAAGAAAUGAGGCUAGUUGCUGCUAUUUUAUAUGAUAUUUGUUGCCUGACUGUGAAUAAAAAUUAGCUAUACUCCGCUAGUUAUUACUACUGAGUAACCGGGAAUUUUCACCAAUAAUGUCGAUUCUCGCAUCAAAAAGUAGUAAUUUUUAUAAGUACGUGGUCGUAUAGCGAUAGGAGUUGAGUAACCGGGCUUCUUCAUCUGAUAAAUAUUGGAGUUCAAGUCAAAAGACCCUAAUGGCUAGAGACUAAGUCCAUUAUUAUUACUAUUGAAAAUAGAAAAAAAAAAGCGUGAUAAAAAGGUGUGUUACGUGACUAAAGUCAGCUUGCCGAUUUUUAGAUUUAAUGUUGAGAUUUUGGUUAGUAGUUGGACCAUUUACUGAUAAAUGUUGAGCAACCAUUCCUUUUUCUUAGAAUAGUUAGUCAUGAAUUGGAAGAGUCUACAGUUUAGAAGCUAACCGAGAUGAUGUUUCUUAGAUUUUAACCAUUGAUACUUGAUAUGUAUUUUUCUUGGUAUCUUGGCAAUAAGGUAGAUGGAGCAAUAACCAUUGUCAAAAAUUGGUGUUUGUUUGUUGUUCUCAUACUUGAGUACAAAUAUGAUUUAGGUGUGGGGGGAAUUGAUAGGUUGUAAUUUUGUCAUUUAUUUUAUAAUUAAUUUCCUCAUAUUAUCUUACCAAAUAUAAAUUAAUUAGCGAAUUUUACUCACUUUUAAGAAUUUGUAUUUAUUGCAGAGAGUGGAACAAAAUACCAUAAAAAGGUGUCAAUUUGACGGUAGUCAGCAGAAGAGUUUGAGUAGCAGUCAACAAGAUGGAGACUACUUCGAUUCUGUUUCCUUAUCUAGUAGAAAAUAUGCGAUAGACCGGAAGAAAAAUUAGGACACUUCAUUUUUCUUUGUUUUGGUAGUUUUCAAAGGAAAAGGAAGUCAACAAGGACUAGGACUCUUUUCCUGUGCUUUCUUGGUAGCCAUAUAGGAGUAGAGAAAGGAGAUAUAGACGAAUUAGAUAGGAGAAUAGCAUACCACUUUUUAUGACUUUUUAGCUUUUGAAUUUUUCGUCUUAUUUGAUUGUUCUUUCAAUUGUUCCAUCGGAUUGAUCAUCUCAAUUGAAAGACGAUGUAUGCAACAAUUAAUUCUGCAAUUGUGUGUGGGUUUUCCUCAACGGAGAUGAAUUAAAUCUCUUUUUCUAGUCAAGGGACAACGGAGACUCUAAUUCAUCUAAAAAUUGUAAGAUCGAAUUAAUUUUAUUUAUUUUUCUUAUUUACUGGUAUUUGCAUAUUCCCUGUUGGUAGUGUUUAUGGUUGUUUCGUUAAUUGAAUAUCUUGGGCUCGGACAUGGAAUUAAUUUAGCAAUCUAAUGUCAAUUGGAGUGUUAAAUCCGUAAUUGUUUAAUUGCUCUAAAAUAGUGACAACUGGCAUAUUGGAUUUGUGUCAGAUGAAUACGGAGGCUAAUCUCAAAUAACUCUGGUAGUGUGUUAUUUGAUUAGAAUAGAACUCCUUUAAUAUAUAAGGCAAUUGAAGAAGUAAAUCUUACGGGCGUACCUAAGAUUAUUUCUUGAUUAGAGUGGUGAUUAACGGGCGUACCUUAGUCAUCGACACAGUAAGGAGGAGUUUACUGUCAUUACUUGUUUGACAAUUAUAACCUAUUUAUUAGUUAAUAAUUGGAACUACCUUUGCAUUGAGAAUCAAUUAGGUAAACCAUUGCCGAAGUUAUUUCUUGACUAGAGCUUAGUUAUUAUUAAUUUGAUUUUAAUAAUUUAUUCUUUAAUUUUUAGUUGGCUAUUUACUUUUAUUCGAACAGUUUAAUUAUUACCAUUGCUAUAAAAAACCCCAUUGUUAGUUUGAAUUUCAAAAGAGACAAAUAUUCUCAGUACCUGUGGAUUCGACCCUACUUAUUACUAUCUAUAGAAAUUACAUUUUGUUUGAGCAGAUAUUUAUUAUUGUACAGGCUCGAAAACCUGUCAAUUAAUAGUUAUUGGAUUUUGUGUAUUACUCAAUUAAUUCAAGAGUUUUUUAAAUGUUGUGUAUUACUCAAUUAAUAGUUAUUGGAUUUUAAGAAAAUAAAAAAGAACUAAAACAUGAUGUUUAUGAAGGAGAAAUAACAAUAUAAUAAAAAGUAGGACAGUGAGUGGCACAGAGUGUGGGACAGAAGAUCCGUUGCGGAAUGAACGAGGCGAGGCAAUCCUGAGGAGUCGGCCUAUCCGUAUUCAAUGCAACUCGACUAGCAAUUAGCUCCAACAGGACAACACCAAAACUAUAUAUAUCACACUUGAACGUAAGCUUCCUGAAUUCAGAUAUUCUGGUGCACAGUAGUCUUGGGAUCCCAAGACUCUUGUGGUAACGUGGGAUUUAUCCAGGACUUUAGGAGGCCCGCAUCUGGCAAGUCCGAAGUCUCCAAGCUUAGCUUGUAACUGGUUGUCCAACAAGAUGUUUGAAGAUUUGUGUCGCGAUGGAUGACGGGUGGGCAGGCGCUGCAAUGGAGAUACUGGAGGCCUUUGGCAACUCCUAAAGCAAUGUUGACCCUUGUUUUCCAAUCCAGGGGCUGUUUUUCACCAAUUCCUUCAAGAUGAUCGGCCAGACUUCCCCUAGGCACGAAUUCAUACACCAAGAACUUCUCAUUUCCUUCAGAUGCGUAUCCAUAUAAUUUUACCAAAUUCGGAUGCCUUAAUAUUUGUAAAAUCUCUACCUCGUUCUUGAAUUCUUGUUCUCUUUGUAUCGAUCCGUCUUGGUGAAACAGGAAUUUAAUUGCAGCAAUCUGAUGGUGAUCAAUCAAUCCAUUCAAUUCGGUGGAAACAAAUUUUAAGUACUAAUAUCAAUUCAAAUUUAUUCAAAUACUAGGAGUACUGAUUUUUACUAGAAAUAGAACUAGUAGUAAGUAGUAACAGGAUAGAACAAAUAGUUCUACUUAUUUGCUGAUUGGUUGACUCAUCAAAACAAACAAGAAGCAUAGAGCAAACGUGCUCAUUUCCCUACUAUGAGUAAUGCAUCAAACAAAAUGCCCUGAAGUUACGUGUUUCAUACUUUAUUUCAUUGAUCAUUUGAUUCUUGAAAUCUUCGUAAGUUAAGUAAGUGACACGAAGAAAUGUUUUACUACUAGUAAAUUAGUUGAACGUGGGACAAGAAAAAUUGAUGUGAAAGUCAAUUUGCAUCAAUUAAUUCAUGAAGAAAUAUGCCAAAUCUUACUUCGCCAGAUUCGAGGGUUCCUUUGUAAACCACUCCGCAGCCUCCCAUACCAAUCACAUUUUCAACUGAGAGAUGUCUGGUAGCAGUUUUAAGCUUAGACACAAUAAAUUUACCUAUAACAGUACUUUGUAAGAACAUUGAUGUACUAAAGAUUUAGGUCUGAGGUCGAUCAUUCAAAGAACAAAAUAUAAAAAAAAUUGAAUUAAUGGCAAAAUUAAGCAGUAAUAGUAGUUACCGCUGGUUACUUGAUCUUCAAUUUGAUUACCCUCAAUCAUCUUGAUGCCCUUGGGCUCAUUUCUGAAUAGGCAAGAACAACAACCCAUUGCUUAUAUAAGCAACUGUAUAUCUCAGUGUUGCAAAGUGGAAAUUGUGUUAGUACGAGAAGCAUGAGAAUCAUUGAAUAUAAGCAACUGCAUGUGUAUCUGGUACUUCAAUUAUUAAGUUAUUGAAUUGUUAAAUACUAAAUUUAACAAAUUUAAAUAUAUAUCACAUUAUUUAACACAAAAAAAGGAGUAUAUAUCAAUGUUUUAAAAACCGGACCGUUAAUUGAACCGGUGAAGUGAAAGGGUCGAGGUUCAACCGGUCGGACCGGUUCAACCUCGGUUCAAUGAAUUUUUAAAAAAAUAAUUUAUAUAAAUAUAUAUAUGUACAAAAUAAGACAUGUAAUGGACUAAUUUAAUAUUUUAUAUGAUGAAAAGUUUACUAUUUUUUAAUAACUUGAAUUUUUAAAAAUAAAUUUUUUAAAUUAUAAGUUAAAACAAAUAAAUUUCAUCUCAAUUUCAAUUAUAUCUAAAUCCAACCCCAAAAUAUCACAAUAUUUUGAAAUUAUACAAAAUUCAUGUCUCUGAGAAUUUAGAUAUUAUGAAUUUUAAUUUUAAUUUACGUUUUGGAAUUUAGAGAUUGCAAUUUAAAAAAGAAAAUUUGGAGUUCAAAGGAAAUCAAGAAAAUCGAAAAUAAAAAUGUAAACUUGAUAAGAAAUAAAAAAUAAGAUAAAAGUGAGUGGUUGUGGCAUUAAAUAAUUUGAGUUAAAAAAAAUUCUUUUUUAAUUUUUUUCAAUUUAAUGGACAAAAACAAAAUUAAAAGAUGGAAGAAAACAUCAAUAAAUUAAAAAUAAAGAGGUUUGAUUAAAAAGGGAGUAACAAAAGAAAAGAGGAUAGAGAGAGAGAGAGAGAGAAUUGAAAAUUAAAAAGAAAGAGCCAUGAGGGGAUGAGAUUUUGUAAGAAAAAUGGAAAAAAGAAAUAUGAGUGUUUGCUUUAUAUAAAUAAGUUAUAAAAAAAAAUUAAUAAGAUGUGAUGGUGCAACGGUUAAUACAUUGGUAUUUUAUUACAAAGGUCUUGGUUCGAAUCUUGAUUGCUGCAUUUUGCAAAACUUAAAAAAAAAGGGGAAAGCUGAAAACCGGCGGUUUUCACGGUUCAACCGGUCUUUGACUGGUUUUCUAGCAAAGUCAACAAUGUCAUUGAACCGGACCGGUGCCAUGGCCGGUUCGCGGUUCAACCGGUCGAACCGGCCGGUCCGGUCCGGUUUUCAAAACAUUGGUAUAUAUAGGAGUAGGCAUAGGUUGUUGUCAUUUGACAAAAAAAAAAAAUGAAGAAGACCUAAGAGAGUAAUAAUGGCACCCAAUGCUUUUGAUGAUAUUCUCCAAUGACAAAUAAGAAGAUCCACCUUCCUGCAACGCUAACCUACGUUUCUCACUGAUAACCCUUUAACCCUUUUCCUCACUUCACUUUCACUAUCCAUGAGUUCCCUUAUCCCUUUCUCUACUUGCUCAGCUCUUACUAUCUCUUGAUUCUUCUUUUCUUCAAAAUAAUCUAUGCAAAUUUCCACUGCAGUUCCCAACUCUUUCACCGCCUGAAAAGCAUUCAGCUGUUGCUCCGCGUGCCGCGUGCAACGGCCAUGUAGCCAUUGGCACGCCACACCAUAUACUCUCCAACGUUGAAUUCCAACCACAAUGCGACACAAAACCGCCCACAGCCGGGUGCGACAACACGGCUAAUAUAUUUAAAUUUUGUUGUUAUACUUCUUAUAAUGUUUAAGGUACACUGGCAUAAAUUAUUGUAUUUCUCGUGACAUCUGAACUAGUAGAAUAAUUUUCUCGAAAUUCUGCGAAAAGCUAACCAAGUCCCGCAAAAUUAUGAUGAAAGAAUCGUCAAUAUCGAUGUUUUACAAUUUACACCUGUGAACUUCAUUUUUUCUAUCUUGGCUAUCUUGGCAGCCACCUUUUGAACUUCUUUACAAAUAUUUUUCCAAGUCGAUCCAAUGCCAAAUCAAGUAGUACUACUAAUGCUCAGGUUUUCAAAUGCAUUAUAUCACUUAUGUCUUUUUAAAAAAAAAAAAAAAAAGUUUUCGUAAUCUGCUGUAUUUUGAAGUUGUUAGAGUGAUCAAGCUCAGAAGAAGCCAUGCAAAUAGCUAUGCCAUUGGAGAAGACAAAGGAAGCUGGCUGAAGGAAGCUGGCUGGAGGAAGAUUUGGGGCUAUCUGAGUGAAGUGUGGGUUGAAAAGAUUAAAUCAAGACACUCUCAACAGCUCUCUAGCCACUCUACUGCAAGAUAUUUGCAGCCUACAAAUCUCAUUUUACUGAAUUCUUAGUAAUGGUCAGAAAUUGGAAAGAAAUGUUGAUUAUUUAGCGAGAUCAGUUUAACAAGAUAAAGGCUGUUUUUUCACUGUUUUAUUCAACUGCAACAUAUUCAAAAGUCUGUGGGGGCAGAAUGUAUCAAUGAUUCUUAACAAGAUUAGCUUAACAAGAGUAGGACAGUGCCUUGUUCUCAAAACCUCAAGGUUUUUUGAGAUUCACCUAACAGAUAAAGUUUUUUUUUUUUUUCAACUGUUUCAUUCAACUGCAACAUAUUCGAAAGACUGUGGAGCAGAAUGUAUCAAUGAUUACACAUUUGCACUUGUCUUAUAUUUAGAUAAAUUGAACCUUGUUCAUGUAGUAAUCUCCAUUAACAACAGUUUUCAUAGCACCAAUUAAGCUGAAGACCUUGAACAAAUGUCUUGAAUAAGAUUCCCCAAAGCGAAAUAAGAUGAUCCACCUUCCUUUGUAGCUAGUCUGCUUUUCUCGCUGAAUUCUUUAACCCUUAUCCUUACUUCAUUCUCAACAUCCAUGAUUUCCCUUAUGCCUUUCUCUACUUGCUCGGCUCUCACCAGAGCUUGAUUUUCCCUUUGUUGAUUGUAGUCCAAACUAAUUUCUACAGCAAUUCCCAACUCUUUCACCAAUUGGAACGCAUUCAGCUGUUGCUCAGCUUGUACAGGCCAGGUCGCAAUAGGCACCCCACAAAAGAUGCUCUCCAACGUUGAAUUCCAACCGCAGUGUGACACAAAUCCCCCAACAGCUGAAUGUGACAGCACGUCCAAUUGUGGAACCCAACCCACGACUUUUCCGAUCGAAGCCGUUCGAUCCAAGAACCCUUCGGGCAGCACAAGUUCAAGAUCCUCAUAAUCCCUAGGAAAUCCUCCUUCCUUUGCAGGGGGCUGCCUGAGAACCCAUAGGAACCGAUGACCACUUCUGUCAAUGCCAUAAGCUAUUUCUUGAACUUGGUCCGGAUGGAAACUUGCCAAGCUGCCAAAACAGAGAAAAACUACCGAGUUUUUAGGCUGACAAUCCAGCCAUUUCAUCAUUGCUGAACAAUCUUCACUAGAUUGAGUGUGGAUUUGGGACCUAUUUAGAAUAGGCCCGACAGGAAAGAUUAGUGGCAAGCUUGAUUUACCAUAAUAAGAAUCUAAUGAAAAAGAACUAAUAGCAUUAGAUUCAAGAUCACUGAAAGUGUUCACUAUGAUUCGUUUAGCCCUUCUGUAGUCACGGGUCCAUUUCAAAACGAAGGUCGACCAAUAUUCCUUGUGGGUUGCUAUAGCUGGGAGGACGCCGAUUGGAACUGGUUUUGUAAAACUAGGGAGAAUUAAAUGGCUUACCCCUUUAACCAGAUCAGAUAUGCCCCGGUUUUGCUCGUCUUCAAGGGUUUGGAAAUGAAGCAUCAGACCAAGAAAAGCCGCACCAGAGGUGAAGAAUAAGUAGGUAGGAACUCCAAGCUCGUCAGCAACGUCAAUCAUCGUCGUGCUAAUGAAGUCAAUCAAAAACCCAGAAAAUUUUUGAGUUUUUGAGGCUAUUUCUCUCACAUGAGGUUUCUGAUAUUCUAGGAGCUUGAAAGUGAAGAGCCCUCUAUGUGUGAUAU
rnacentral:lncRNA from 1 species